AAAAUAUCAACUUGUUUGUGGUUGUUUUCCCUCUCCUUUAUCCCCUAAGAACUUUGUUUCUUCACUUGCACUCUCUCUUAGUCUUAAGUUAUGCCCCCUUCUCGUGAGCCUUGCCUUGGGACCCAUUGUGCUCCCUAUGAACUUGGACACUUGAGGGUUGGCCCUUCUACACUGCACUUGUCCUAUUCUGGUGAUACAAUUUGGAUGUGAGCACUGCCCGGAGUCCCAUUGAGGUUCUUAGGGAACUUUGACACACUCAAAUUGGAGAAAGGCUUUGGAUCAAUGGUCUUUGAGUUGGUUUAUCUCAUAACUCAGUGAGGAAGUCAGAAUCAGGCUUCCUUUAGUUGUACUUUAUUUGUAUUUUCUGAUGUAAUUUACUAUUCCGAUUUGUAAUAAGUUGUAAUAAACAUUUGGGGCUGGCUAGUGAAAAAGGGUGGGUAACUAUGCAUGCAAAGGGUAGAAAUCAUGCCUAUAGGACUGUUCUAAAUUCUGUAUCUUCAACUUCACCUAGAAAACAUGCCUAUAGGGUUUGUUCUAAUUCUGCAUAUUCUAUUACACAUAGAAACCAUGCCUAUAAGGUUUGUUCUGAAUUCUGCAUGUUCAGUUACAUAUAGAAACCAUGCCUAUAGGUUGUUCUAAUUAUGCAUAUUCAAUUACAAGUAGAAAUCAUGCCCAUAAGGUUUAAAACAAAGUUUCGCAUUUAGAUACCAUGUCUAUAAGGCUUAAACAAGUUCUGUACCAUGUCUAAAAUCAGCAAUACAUAGAAAACAUGCCUAUAGGGAUCCUCGAGCAAUUCUGAUUUGUUUUCAUUCACAGUCACGUUAGAUAUAAAAUCAGUAAUAGUAGAACUCAUAAUCAAUUUGUUUGAUUUUGUACAUUCUGCAUCUCCUUUAGUAAUCUGAGUCCCUCACUGAACAAGUAUGCAUAUAGGACUUCAAAUAAUUCAUUUCGAGUCUUACUAUCUUAUCACCUUCUGAAUUCAGUAGAUACCAUGCCUAUAAGAUCCUCAUCUAAACACUUAGGCAAGCCUUAGAGUAAUAACUAUAAAUGGAAUUUGUUUCUGUUAAUCAGUACAACCAGCAGGCAGGCCUGAUUCGGGCUUCUUAUCUGAGUUAUGUAAUAAACUAAAACUGCUUCAGCAACCUCCUCUCCCUCGUCUUUAAUACUUUUAAAUCAGACCUAAACAGUAUAUGCAAGACAUGCUAAUUAUAUGCUUUUAAGGAGGCAUACCUGAGCCAUCUGUUUAUUUAUAUGCUUUCCCCAAAAUGUGCAAUAUGUGUUUUUGUAUGUUGCUUUUGAGUUUUACCAUUGAAACUCCAAAUAAGCCCAACAUCCCUCCCUUUUAGGAUUAGUAGUCCUAAAUGCCUCCGGGACUGAUAGGAGUGGCAUGGGUAAUAGCAUGCAAUAAGUAAUCGAGACCAUUCCGCACUUUAAAUACCUUAACGGAGUAGGAAGGGUAGAUAUGGAUAUGAUGACCACACGGUAAUGUCACGUGUAACCCCUCAUUGAGGAGUGAUUACCGGACAUUGUGUGGGGUGAUCCAUAUUUUUAAUAAACCUAGGACCCUCCUCCAUUUAUUCUUUAUUUAUUUCUUUUAGCAUUUCAACUCCUUUUAAAAUAUGUUUUUCUAACCGUUCUUUCAAAUUUUGGUUUACUUUCAAACUAUAUGUGAAUCCUCUCUUAUNNNNNNNNNNNNNNNNNNNNNNNNNNNNNNNNNNNNNNNNNNNNNNNNNNNNNNNNNNNNNNNNNNNNNNNNNNNNNNNNNNNNNNNNNNNNNNNNNNNNNNNNNNNNNNNNNNNNNNNNNNNNNNNNNNNNNNNNNNNNNNNNNNNNNNNNNNNNNNNNNNNNNNNNNNNNNNNNNNNNNNNNNNNNNNNNNNNNNNNNNNNNNNNNNNNNNNNNNNNNNNNNNNNNNNNNNNNNNNNNNNNNNNNNNNNNNNNNNNNNNNNNNNNNNNNNNNNNNNNNNNNNNNNNNNNNNNNNNNNNNNNNNNNNNNNNNNNNNNNNNNNNNNNNNNNNNNNNNNNNNNNNNNNNNNNNNNNNNNNNNNNNNNNNNNNNNNNNNNNNNNNNNNNNNNNNNNNNNNNGCACCAUAAUCAUUAGGUGGCGACUCUUCAAAUUCAAACCUAAUUCCCAAAGGAAUGAGUUGUCCUCCCAAAUGUCAUAAACCCGAUUUCGCGAAAAAAAGGGGGCGGGACACCCACCGGAACUAUCUGGGCCGGAACCUCAUCAUCAAAGUCAACCUGAGGCUCUAUCGCUGGUGCUGCUGCUCUGGGAUGAGCUCUGCCCCUACCUCGGCCUCUAGCAAUGCCUCACCCUCUGCCUCUCGUGGGAGCUACUACUGGGGGCUCGGGCUGCUGAUCGGUGGAUGAGGAAGCGCGUGUUCUCGCCAUCUACGAAAUAAUAGAGUAGAAAUUCAAUUAGCAUUGAGAAACCAAACCGCAUGACAGGAAGGAAUAAAUGUGAAGUUUCUCCUAACUCUGUAGACUCUAGGGGAUAAAUACAGACGUCUCUGUACCGAUCCCUCAGACUUUACUAUGCUUGUUUGUAAACUGUGAGACCCAUGUAACCUAGAGCUCUAAUACCAACUUGUCAGGACCCGGAUUUCCCGCCCUCGGGAUGGCGCCUACUAAUGCGAGCUAGGAAAGCCGACGGUUUGAACAAUUACCUUUUUACCCAUUUUAUAUCCUUUAACAAUUAUGAAGCAAUAACGUGUAGAUAGCGGAAUUUAUAAUACGCUGAAGAAAACAACAACGAUCUGAAUAUGUAUCCAAUACAACUGUUUAAGCAAGACUACCCAAAACUAGAGUCACAGCUUCACAGACGGUCUAAGAAUACUGCAUAUAAAGUCUGAAAGAUAAAUGAUAUACUGUCUCUGAAAUAAGUAAAGGAAACAGGAUAAAGGGAUAGAGGAAGACACCAGGGCCUGCGGACGUCUGCAGGACUACCUUGGAUCUCCGAAUGGACUGAAGGCAGCCACCCAAGCUAAGGUCCAAAAGUUGUUGCUCUGGGAUCUACACACAAUACAGAGUGCAGUAUCAGCACAACCGACCCCAUGUACUGGUAAGUGCCUAGCCAAACCUCGGUGAAGUAGUGACGAGGCUAGGACCAAACUACCAGAUAAAUUUGUGUAGUUUAACUAUAUACAGCGGAAAAGAAGAACUGUAAUAUAUAGUCAAGUAUGGGAGGGGGAAACAUGUUGCAGGGAAACAUCAAUUAAGAAUAGAAAGAUAGUGGGUAAAUAAGAGGAAUACCAAAUCUCAACUAAUAACAAGAAUCAGAAAACAAACAAGUGCACAGCAUCACCCUUCGUGCUUUUACUCUCGUCCUCACCAAAGCAUUCAAGUAAUGAAAAUGUGCCCGACACCACCCUUUGUGCUUUUACUCUCGUCCUCACCAUAUAAUCAAUAUAAUCGGCAUGAAAUUAUACAUCGUGCGGCACGGCAUCACCCUUCGUACUUUAACACUCUUCCUCACCCAAACAACAAUCACAAACAAUAGGGCAAGGAAAUAAAUGAAAUUACAAUAAGAAUCUCGGCAAGGGAACGAUAGUCCAUCAAUCAAGUCCCGGCAAGGGAACAACAUCAAAAGAAGCAUCAACAUCCCGCCAAGGGAGAUAACAUUAAAAGCAACAAUAUCCCGGCAAGGGAGGCAAUAUUCACCAAGGCGUGAAUAAUACAACGAAGUCACAAUAAUCACAAUAUAAGACUCAUGGGCAUGCUUGACACCAACGCAUAGAUACUCGUCACCAUGCCUAUACAUCGUACUCAACAAAUACCACAUAGCAAAUAGGACUCGACUCAUAAUCCCUCAAGCUAAGGUUAGACCAAACACUUACCUCGAACUUCCACAGCCAACUCAAGCCUCAAACACCACUUUUUAUUUUGAAUUUGGCUCCUAAUCAAUUGUAUCUAGACAAAAUCGACUUAAUAACAUCAAUAAACGCUAAACGAUUCAAUUCCAAUGCUUAAUUAUAGAUUUCCUAUCAUUCUUUCCAAAAAGUCAAAAAUCGACCCCGGGCCCGCUUGGUCAAAACACAAGGUUCGGACCAAAACCCGAUCACCCAUUCACCCACGAGCCCGAAUAUGUAUUUACUUUCGAAAUCCGACCCCAAACGAGGUCUACAUUUUAUUUACACAAAAAGCCCUAAUUGUACCCAAAUCCCUAAUUUUCUACCCUUAAGAACAUGAUUUAGGCCUAGAAAUCUAAUGGAUGUUAAUAGAAAUUGAAGAAAAUGAGUCUAAGAUUACAUACCUAUGAAUUUUGGGUGAAGCUAUCUUUCAAAAAUCGUCCAAUUUGGAGUUUGGAAGAAGAAGUUAUGAAGUUUUUGUUAAAUCUCUUAUGUUCUGUUACUGUUUAAAUGACUGGGCAAAAUUGGUCUCUGCGAUCGUGAACAAGGGUAUGCGAUCGCAUGGGGUAAGGGGGAUUGGGCAUUGCGAUCGCAGAGCAUGGAUUGCGAUCGCAUAGAGGAAAAUGGGUUCUCUUCUCGGGUUUGGUUUAACUCAUUGCAAUAGCGGAAGGAACAAUGCAAUCGCAUAGAACAAUUGGUGACCUCCCAGAAUUUACUCUACGAGAUCGCGGAAGGACCUAUGCGAUCGCAUAGCACAAAAUAGGACCCCCUGAAACUACACUAUGCGAUCGCGAACCUUCCUAUGCGAUCGCAUAGCACAAGGACCUGGACACCAGCAAACAGCAGUUUUCUGCAAUUUUCCUAAGUUCAAAAACCUUCUGAGACCUAUCUGAAACUCACCCGAACCCUCGGGGCUCCAAACCAAAUAUGUACACUACCUCAAAAACACCCCACGGACUUACUCGUGCAUUCAAAUCACCAAAAUAACAUCAACAACUAUGAAUUUAGCAUCAAAAUCAUGAAAUCACUUAAGAACUUCAAAUUUUCCGUUUUUGUCAAAUACGGUCCGAUACACGUCAUUUCGAGUCCGUUUCUUACCAAAUUUCACAAACUCGACUUAACUAUAUAUAAGUCCUGUACCGGACUCAAAAACCAUAAUACGAGCCCGAUACCAUCAAAUUUUUACGCAUAUUCCAUUUCUAAAACUCAUAAAUAAUUCCAAAAAAUAAUUUUUUUUUAAAAUUCAAUUCUCCGGCUUGGGACAUCAGAAUUAGAUUCCGGGCAUAUGCCCAAGUCCCAUAUUUUCCUACGAACCCUCUAGGACCGUUAAAUCAUGGGUGUGGGUCCGUUUACCCAAAAUGUUGACCGAAGUCAACUUAAAUUUAUUUUUAAGUCAAAAUUUAUCAUUUUUCACAGAUUUUCACAUAAUGGCUUUCCUGCUACGCGCCCGGACUGCAUGCGCAAAUUGAGGUGAUGCCGAAAGAGGUUUUUAAGGCCUCGGAACGCAGAAUUUAUUUCACAAACAAGUGAUGACCUUUUGGGUCAUCACUUCUCCUUAGUCCAUAACCUUAGAAAAAAACCCAAACCUUAACAUCUGAAAUUCAUCAUAGGACCUGAAUUCCACAUCAUCACUGAACACACCCAAAUAAGCUGAAUCGAGCCAAAAAUUCCAAUCCCGAAUACAAUCACAUGCUGCUCCACACAACUCAAUGCCCGAAGCAAUAACCUCUGACCACCAUAGCUGUUCAAAUAACACACUGGAUGCCGGCAACACACCUCACAUUGAAUAUAACCUUAUUCCGGACCUCCACAUCACUGUCCUUGAUAAAGAAACAUGCAGGAACUCAUAGCCACCUAUGAAGUCAACAUGUCAAGAAGCUCUCUCGCCCGCCAAGGGCCAUCACCCAAAUCUUAGCAGUAACACCCUCAUACUUCUAAACACUCCUCACCUCCGAUACCAUAGUACUAAUCUCAGGUCUAAGAACCUCAUCUCAGCCAAUACAAGCAGCACAGCUAGCAACUCAUCAUGGAACCACACGGAUUCUCACAUUACAUAAUUCGUACACCAAACCAACAAUAACUCAAUUAUGCAGCACAAGUAAAGAAAAGCAGAGUAUAAGAAUUAUCUAACGAGAGCAACACCUACAACAACAAAAGUGUAAUUCUUCAUCAAAUCGUCCCACGGAGGGAAAACACAACACCAAAUAAACACAAGGAAAUGGCAUCCCACAUAACAUCCGUUGCGGCGUUCAGCCCGCUCCCAAAUACUCAUCAAGGCAAAAUGCUCGAGCUCACUGAACAUAUGAAUACUGAUAUCAAGUACAACAGAGUGCACAAAUAAAACUGUGGGAAAAUAAAUGAAAGUGCUAAAACAUGAAAUAAGCAAGCAUGACUAAGGUGCAAUAAGCAAAUCAAAGGCUAUCUUGCCUGCAUCAUCAUAAGGCCUGGACAGAAUUACUACCUGUGGAGGAAAUAAUCAUACAACCUUACUACCUAACACAGCAUACAAGAGUAGCACAUAUCAUAGUCUAGGGGCACAUAUAAUAUCCCUCCUACCUGAUCACAUAACCAAAAUGACAUUCUCACAGAGGCACACAAAUUUGCUUUGACACGACAUACAUAUUCUCGCUGAUCCCCCAAAUAGCCCUCAGCCAAAUCCUGAUUACCUCCAAAUAGGUAAAUAUCCUUUCCAAAAACCACAGCGACCUAUCAAUGAUGCAUGUUAUUAACUAUUUCAUCCUCAACGUUUCUCCACAAUACGCAAAUAGGAAAUAAUUCACAUAUGAGGGCAUCUAGCACCAAAACCUCAGGAAUACCAAAAUUUCCAUACUCUAACUCCACUAUGCAAUCAAAUGGCUGAUAUAUCACUUAUACCCAAUCAUUCUGCUGAAUCACUCAUAUAGAGUUUCUGAGCGCGUAACAAAAUAUGAACCUCGAAAGCCUCAAAACCCAGUAAUGACCCUACUAUCAGCCACGCACUGCAAACCAAAACUCAAGGUCCUAUCCGAAAAUGCACACUCUUCACAUAUGAUAGCCAACAAUGCCAACACUCUAUUAAUUUCAUAUACCGACUUGGGAGAAACUACAAUGUACCAUAUAUUCCUUAUGCCCAUAGAAGACACCCAACUCAAGCCAUAGUCAAACCAUCGAGAACCCUCCGAGAUCCGCUCGCAUGCAACUAAACCAUCAGGACUGCACCUCCCCAACUCAACCGAGUAAUACAAACCAUCCAAUCUAAAAGUGCUACCACAAAUGCCAAUAGAGAAUUCCUAUCCAAAAGGACCAUUUACUUCCAUGGCUAUGCUGAGCCAACACUACUGAACUGACUCAUUUCAUCGGAUAGUCGAUAUACAAUAACUCCUAUCAAAGACCCACAUACAGAUGACUCUAGCGUGAACUACUUAGCAAGAAACCCAUAGACCACCGCAUUACCUCUGAAGCACCUGUUUUGCUGCAACCACAAUGCCCACGCUGAAUAGACCUCCUGUGAAUCUGAAGUUGUUCCCCGGACUCCCCUAGAUACUGAAAUGCAGAUCCAUUAUUGAUGUAGAAAUACUGUAAGCCCCAACAUUACCCCGUUCGAGAUCCAGACGCUGGUCAUACCCCAAAUCCGGGAACCUACCAAUGCCACAUAUACACCUACCUCAGGCUAAAACUGAUACAAAUCUAACUCUGCAAUCUAAAUGCCACUAUUGGACUCCUCCACUUGGCGCAAAGCCAUAAAAAACAACAUCUGAUAAUCCACAAAACUAACCUUCACGGCUCGCACAACACAAAUCACAAGGUACUCCAACACCACCAAUUAUUCCCAAUCAACACCCGCCUUGUGACCUUGCCACGAUCGCGAUGACUAGUCAACCAAUUAAAUCUUCCAAGCUCGCACUCAUCAACCAGAUGCCGGAAACCGCUGCGCCUCCAUAUGAACAACUGAAUAGUCUCUCAAUACCUUUGUAUCUUCAGUCUGGACUCUGGACAACACGUUGAGACAAUGCCUGAGCAUCCCUGACUCCUUCGUAGCUGGUCUAUAGCAUCACGAACCACUGGUGCAUAGCGAACGUUGAGAGCGUAAUAUUAUACAUGAGUGGAUGUAGAGGGACAUAAGUCAUAUACUUCGAGCUGAAUCAAUAUCGCACGAUAGGGAAUGAAAGAAGUGGAAUUUUCUAACAGUUCUGUAGCCUCUCGAAGAUAAGUACAGACGUCUCCGUACCGAUCUGCAAGAUUCUACUAAACCUGCUUAUGACUCGUAGCACCCAUAAACCUAGAGCUCUGAUACCAACUUGUAACAACCCAAAAAUCCCUCUGAAGGAGUCGUGAUGGCACCUAGUCUCUAAACUAGGUAAGCCUAACAUAAACUGAAAUAACAUUGAUGCUUACUAACUUUAAAUUAACCAACUCUGAAUAAAUCAAAAUUCCCAAAAUCGAUGGUACAAGUCACAAGCCUAUCUAAGAAUAAUUUCACAAAACAAUACAUCACUGCCCCGAAACAAAGGAGCAAAUGGAAGUAAAUACAAAUGAAGGUGACUCUGAGAUCUACGAACACUGUAGCAAGUUUACCUUGAGUCUCCACCACCACGACUCGCACAACUACUAUCAAUACACCUGGAUUUGUACACAAAAAUGUAUAGAAGUUUAGUGUGAGCACACCACGAUGGUGCCCAGUAAGUAUCAAGACUAACCUCGGUGGGGUAGUGACGAGGAACAGCAGGACACCUACUGGUUAGAUGAAAUGAACAGGAUAUGAUAAUAAAAUAUCAAGAUAAAGAUAACAUAGUGAUAUCAACCACGGAGAGAAAAUCCAAGUACAAAUAGUAUAAUUAAUAAAGGGAGAACACGGAUGGUAACAAACAGAAACCAAGUAAAUCAGAUAACCCAAGCAAUUCAACACUGGCAUAAUAUGUAACGACCCGAUCGGUCGUUUUGAGCUCUAGUGCGCCGUUCAAUAGUCUGAGGCCAUGAGCAGCUUCAUUUCAGGUAUUAUGACUUGAACACGUGGUCGGAAUUGAAUUUCGGGAAGUUCAGAGUUGAUUUGGAAAGAGAAUUCUCAUUUCGGAAGCUUAAAGUUGAAAGAAUUAACUAGGAUUGGAUUUUUGAGUAAACGACCUCGAAAUCAAGAUCUGAAGGUUCCAGUAGGUUCGUAUGAUGAUUUCGGACUUGGGCGUAUGCCCAGAUCGGGUUUUGGAUGACCCGGGAGCAUUUUGGCACCUAUUGUGGAAGUUAGCAUUUUGGAAGAAAUUUCACAAGUUUGGCUUGAAGUGCAUUUCAGUGUUAUCGAUGUCCGUUUGGGAUUCCGAGUAUGGGAUUAGUUCCGUAUGGUAAUUUUGGAGUUGGGAACGCGAUCAGGAGUGAAUUCGGAGGUCCGUAGGUCAUUUUGGAGUCAUUUGGCUAAAGAUAGAAAAUUGAAGGUUUCUGAGAAGUUUGACCGGAAGUGAACUUUUGAUAUCUGGGUUGGAAUCCGAUUCCGAAAGUUGGAAUAGGUCUGUAAUGUUGAAUAUGACUUGUGUGCAAAGUUUGGGGUCAAUCGGACGUGAUUUGGUAGGUUUAAACAUCGAGAGUAGAAGUUUGAAGUUCUAAAGUUCAUUAAGCUUGGAUUGGAGGUCGAUUCAUGAUUUUGGCGUUGUUUGAUAUGAUUUGAGGCCUCGAGCAAGUCCGUAAUGUAUUUUGGGACUGGUUGGUAUGAUUGGUCGGGUGGAUUCUGGGUGGUUAACGGAACGAAAAUAGAAUUUGGAGAAGUGCUGAAGCAUCUGCUUCUGUCAUAACCGCACCUGCGGUUGGUCGACCGCAGGUGCGAGACCGCAGAAGUGGUCGUAGCCUCGCAGAUGUGGCCCAAGCAAGCCAGGCUAGGAACCGCAGAAGCGGCUCCCAAGCCGCAGAUGCGGCUCCGCAAAUGCGGCCUCCAGACCGCAGAAGUGGUCACAGCCUUCUCUCCCCAUUUCGCAGAUGCGGUUAUCUUCUCGCCUGACCGGAGAUACGGAAGUGCUGGAGGCAGUGAGUUCUUCUAAAAAUCGGGUGAUGGUCAUUUUCUCCCAUUUUCAUUUGGUAUGGGCGAUUUUGGAGAGCUUCAAGAGGGGAUUUUCAUCAUCAACGAUAAGAUAAGCUAACACCACCUAUAUUGAGUUAAAUAUAUCGGUUUUGUAUGGAUUUUAGCAUGUAAAUGGGUAGAAACUUUGGGGUUUGAGGAAAACCUAGAAAAAUUCGUAUUCUUGGAUUUUGACCGCGAUAUUGGGUAUGGAAUUAAGAGAAAAUCAUAUAUUUGAGUUCGUGAGUUCAUGGGUAAACUUUAUCUUCGAAAAAUUUAGGAAUCCGGGCACGUGGGCCCGAGGGCAAUUUUGUCAACUUUUUGAUCGGGGUUAGGAAUUGCUAUGAAUUCAAUUGUAAUGACUAACUGAACAUAUAUUAAUGGAUUUGCAUAAUCAUUGGCUAGUUUUGGAGUAUUGUGCAUCGAUGCGAGUCUUUGGAAGGGCGUGGAAUGCCGGUUAUGGAUUUUCGGAGUGAUGUGAGUUUCUUUUCUAAUCUUGUAAGAAGGAAUUGUCCCCAUAGGUGAGUUAAUUGGUUAUGUGCUCCUAUUUGUGGGGGCUACGUAUGCACGAGGUGACGAAACUUCAUGCGUAGCUACUAUUAUGCUAUUGUCCGGGUAGUCUAGGACCCAAAAGCAUGUUGUACUUGGAUUAUUUGUAAACUAUUUGACAGCUUGAAUUGCUUAAAUCACAUCGAAUUAGUAAAUGAAUUUCAAAAAGGAUUAAACUUCAUUUUUUUCUUAAAUCAUUAAAAGAGAAUUGGCUUUUUAUUGGAAUAAACAUUUCCCGAUAAACUCUUAAUUAGUUGUUUGACUAUGUGUAUCUAUGUGUGCCCGCAUCGCAUGUAUGAUUUGUGAGCGGGUUAUUUGUUUAUUUAAUGUUGACCGCGUCGCAUGUAUGAUGCGCGAGCGGGGUAAUAGAUGCAUCUACGUUCGCACCGUUCGACCCUCGGCAGUGCACAUUUUACAUUUCUGUUAGAUCGGAUCGUAUGACCUCGGCAUGAUUUGCGCAUGCUUGUAUUGCUUGCCUUGAGAUUGAUAUUUGCUCUCCCCGACUUGAGAUAAUUGGAAACUAUUGGAUUAUGAAUUCGUAGACUUUUAAUAUAAAAAGGAACUUUCAUCUGUUCAUGACUUACUUGAAAUUACUGUCAUUCUUAAUAAAUCCUUGAUUAUUCGCAUUUAUAAUAUAUCAUUAUUGGACCACUAGUAAGUGUCGAAGUCGACCAUCUCGUCUCUACUUCUUCGAGAUUAGACGGGAUACUCAUUGAGUACACGUUGUUUUCGUACUCAUACUACACUUCUGUGCAUUUUUGUUGCACAUGCAUAUGUAUCCCUAGUGGCCUACCGGGCGUAGCAGCAUGGUUGAUACGGAGACUUAGGUGAGUUGCACUUCUCGAGGCGACCUGCAGCCAGCAGAGUUUCUUUUAGUUAUCUGUAUUUAUUUUCUGUCCAAUAUUGUAUUCCGGACGGUUGGUUCAAUUUAUUUCCUUCUUAGUAAAUGCUCAUGCACUUGUCACACCGGGUCCUGCGAUCGGUAUAGGAUUGUUCAAUAUUAAGUUUGUUAAAACUUCAUGGUUAUUUCUGUAAAUUUCAUUAUUUGUUAUUUAAUGUAUAAAGGAAAAUGAUUUCAUCAAAUACUAAAAUUGGAAUUUAAUUAAGUAUUUUGGUUGACUUGCUUGACAGCGGUGUCCGGCGCCAUCACGACCCUUAGAGGAUUUUGGGUCGUGACAUAAUAGAGAGUGAGACAAGUAAGAAUGUAUCCAAUUAAAGAAAACAAUGUCAACUCAAUCAAUCACAUCAUGUUUAAUACACCAUCCCGAUCAUUUCAAUCCUCGAUUUCUCAUAUCAUAAUCUCAACUUUCGAACUUUCAGCACAUAUGGCACCUCGUGCCCGCAUUUUUUUUCCAUCUCACUCUUAAUAACAAAAUUCACAUGAUAUACAAUACAAAAUGUCUUUAAAAAUGCACUUAAGAUGUUCAAGAAAUCCUAUUUACAUAAUAUAAAUUAAAUUUCAAUUUCUAAAUAAGUUUGGAAAAUCGGCGAGAAAAGAUGAAGUUAUUUUUAGAAAUCAUUCGAAUAAGAAAGUACCCUUUUCAAUUUAAAAUACAACAUUGGAAUAAUUAUUACUCUUAACAGGGGAGUGGGUAACAUAAAACUUAGUAGAAAUUUCAUUUUAAGAAAAAUACAACCUCAGACGGUUUAAGGGGAUAUAAUUGAGAAACUAAUUGAAUUAUGGAUGUAACAAUUAUUGAAGUUUGAAGUAUUGGAACGUAUAAAUAAAUAUAUAUAAAUACGGUGAGGUAUUGAAAACAUUAUGGAUUUUAACACAAAGGAACACAGCAAUAAAGAAAUUAAACAGUUUAAACAUUGGAAUUGAUAACAACAAAUAACACAGCAGCAGAAAGUGCACGGCAUCACCCUUCGUGCUUUUACUCUCGUUCUCACCAUAAGAAUCAAUAUUCUACUUUUUAUUAUUUCUUGUUGNNNNNNNNNNNNNNNNNNNNNNNNNNNNNNNNNNNNNNNNNNNNNNNNNNNNNNNNNNNNNNNNNNNNNNNNNNNNNNNNNNNNNNNNNNNNNNNNNNNNNNNNNNNNNNNNNNNNNNNNNNNNNNNNNNNNNNNNNNNNNNNNNNNNNNNNNNNNNNNNNNNNNNNNNNNNNNNNNNNNNNNNNNNNNNNNNNNNNNNNNNNNNNNNNNNNNNNNNNNNNNNNNNNNNNNNNNNNNNNNNNNNNNNNNNNNNNNNNNNNNNNNNNNNNNNNNNNNNNNNNNNNNNNNNNNNNNNNNNNNNNNNNNNNNNNNNNNNNNNNNNNNNNNNNNNNNNNNNNNNNNNNNNNNNNNNNNNNNGCGGCGUGCAACCCGAUCCAUAUAAUAUUGUUGCGCGUGCAACCCGUUCCAUAUAAUAUUAUUGCGACAUGCAACCCGAUCCAUAUAAUAUUGUUGCGGCUUUCAACUCGAUCCAUAUAAUAUUGUUGUGGCGUGCAACCCAAUCCCAAUAUACCAAUCAACACCAAUCAUGACAGAAUCCCGACAAGAGAAUAAUAAGGAAACAACAUCCCGGUAAGGGAGUCAACAAUAAGAAUAAACACGUCCUGGCAAGGGAACUAACAUUAAGAAUUAAAUAUGUCCCGGCAAGGGAAUCAACUAUAACCAAACUUGUACCAACAUUUAACUUUACAAUGAAACCUCAACUACACAACAAGAUAUAAUAAGCACGUGAUAACUACACCGGCAACCACAACAAUUGGACGUGUAACCUAUUUGCACGAAGUCAUAGAGGAACUCACAAUCAAGAAGGAUCAAAACAAUAAGGAAUGCAAUCACUUCAAUUAAGGCAAUUAAGGGUCAAUGUAACACGUAAGAAUUAGAGGAAAGCUAACAACGUCAUAUGGAGCAUAUAGAGGCAAUUUAAGCAACUAGGAAUCCCAAUCAUAACAGGAUACUUUCCGCAUAAGGACCUAAGAACCCUAGAGCAUAUUUUCCACAAAUAAGUCCGAGCACACACUCGUCACCUUGCAUGCACGGACUACAAUUAGCAUAGAAAAUUCAAUUCCUAAGGGGAAGUCCCCCACACAAGGUUAGGCAAGGUACUUACCUCAACUAUUCCGAAUAAUAAAGUUUCAAUCUUUACAAAAAUAUAAAAAUCGACCCACGGGCCCGCACCUCGGAACCCGUCAAAUUUUACAAAAUUCGAUCACCCAUUCCAAAAUAAGUUCAACCAUACAAAAUUUAUCCAAUUCCGAUACCAUUUGGUCUCUCAAAUCGUGAUUUUUUAUUUUGAAAUUUUUCUUCAAAAAACAACUCUUUUCUCAACCCAAAACACAAUUUAAAUGAUAAAAAUAAAGAUAAAUUUAUAGAAUAUAUUUAAUUCUAGUUGAAGAACACUUACCCAAUCGAAUUUCGUGAAAACUCCACCAAAAAUCGCCAAGAACCGAGCUCUAGAAGUCAAAAUAUAAUGAAAAUAGUGUAACCCUCGAUUUUGGAAUAUAUUCUGUCCGGCCAGGUGUUUGUUCAUUGUGAUCGCGGGAGAAGUGAUGCGAUCGCGUAGAAGAAAAUAGCUACUGGCCCAAAAUGUUCUAUGCGAUCGCGGGCAAAUCAAUGCAAUCGCAUAGAAGGAAAAUGUUGUUGUCCAAAUUUGUGCUAUGCUAUCGCGGAAAAAUCAAUGCAAUCGCAUAGAAGGAAAAUGUUGUUGUCCAAAUUUGUGCUAUGCUAUCGCGGACAAAUCAAUGCGAUCUCAUAGAAGGAAAUACCAGAUACCAGAACAACAGUUCAAACAUAGGGAAAAAUGACCCGUAGCCCAUCCGAAAUACACUCGAGGCUCUCGAGACCCUGUUUAAUCACACAAACAAGUCAUAUAACCUAACACGGACUCGCUCGAGGUUUCAAAUCACAUAAAACAACAGCAAAACAACGAAUCAAACCAAAAAUCAAACUUACGAAUUUCCAAAUCUUCAAAUAUCAAAUCUCAUGCCGAAAACUAUCAAUUCAACUCGGAAUAACGCCAAAUUUUGCAGACAAGUCCAAAAUGACAUGACAGAGCUGAUCCAACUCUUGGAAUCGCAUUCCGACCAUGAUAUCAUAAAAGUCAACUAUGGGUCAAACUUCUCCAUUUUCCAAACUUUAACUUUUCCAACAUUCGCCGAAAUGCCUCAAUUUACCCUACGGACCUCCAAAUCCGAAUCCGGGUGCGCGCCUAAGUCCAAAAUCACCAUACGAAGCUGUUAAAUCAUCCAUGACCCAUUUCGAGGCCGUUUACCCAAAAGUCCAAUUCCGGUCAAAUUCUCACCAUUUAAACUUCCAAAGCUAGUUUCCUUCUUCCAAUUUAACCCUGAAUCAUCCGUUAACUGAAUUCAACCAUGCACGCAAGUCAAUACAUAUAUUAUGAAGUUGCUCGAGACCUCAAACUGUCUAACCGGGCACAAUUGCUCAAAAUGACCAGUCGGGUCGUUACAUUGCAGGACUAGUAUCACUAUAUAGCGACUAGGUGUGAUUGCACUCAACUACUGAUGGAGGAUAUAUGUAAACUACUUUGAUAAAUUAUAAGUAUAUUUGAAAAUUUCUUAUUAUUUAUUUGUUAAUAAUAACUUUUGAGUUAUACUUUUAAUAUUAUAUUCUAUUAUAACGGAUAUCUCUUGAACGAGGAAAGGGACAGGAACAUUGUGCUAGAUGAGUUGGAGAAUUCAGGGAGUCAUAGGGAUUUUGGAUUUUUUAGGCGUAUUAGGAGCAUAGAAGUGGAGGGGGCGAUGCGGAAGAUGGUCAGGGGUAAAGUUACUGGGCUAAAUGAGAUUCCAUUGGAAUUUUGAAAGGUAGUAGGUGGAGCAGUCUUGGAGUGACUUACUGGUUUGUUUUAAUGUCAUUUUUAGGAAGAAGAAAAUGCCCGAAGUUUGGCGGCGGAGUUUAAUGAUCCCGUUGUAUACAAACAAAGGUGAUAUCCAGGACUAUAACAACUAUAGAGGUAUCAAGUUAUUGAGUCAUACUAUGAAAGUUUGGGAGAGGGUGGUGGAGAUGAGGGUGCGAUGUAGUGUUAACCGGUUUGGAUUUAUGUCGGGAUGGUCUACUAAAGAAGACAUUCACCUUGUGAGGAGAUUGGUGGAGCAGUAUAAGGAGAGGAAGAAGGACUUGCAUUUGGUAUUCAUCGACCUAGAGAAAGCCUAUGUAAAAUCCCGCGAGAGGUCAUAUGGAAAUGUAUGGAGGCUAGCGGUGUCCCGAUGGUGUACAUUAUGGAGAUUAAGGACAUGUACGAGGGAGCGAAGACUCGGGUGAGGACUGCGGGAGGAGACUCGGAUCAUUUUCUAGUGGAGAUGGGGUUACAUCAAGUAUCGGCUCUUAGCCAUUUUUGUUUGCCUUAGCUUUAGAUGUGCUGACACAUAACAUGCAAGGGGAGGUGCCAUAAUGUAUGUUAUUCAUUGAUGACAUAGUCUUAAUUGACGAAACGCGAGGUGGAGUUAAUGCUAAGUUGGAAGUUUGGAGACAAACGCUGGAGUCAAAAGGUUUCAAGUUGAGUAAGUCAAAAAUUAAGUACUUAGAGUGCAAGUUCAGUAAGGGGAUGCAUGAAAGAAGAAGUGGAAGUGAGGAUUGGUACUCAGGUUAUCCUAAAAGAGAUAGUUUUAAGUAUCUUGGGUCUAUUAUUAACGGCAACGAGGAGAUUGACGAGGAUGUUACUCAUCGUAUUGGAGCUGGGUGGAUGAGAUGGAGGCUCGCCUCGGGGAUUUUUUGUGAUAAGAAUGUGCCCCCUGGACUUAAGGGCAAGUUCUAUAAAGUGGUGGUUAGACCGACUAUGCUGUAUGGAGCUGAGUGUUGGCCUGCCAAGAAAUCCCAUGACCAAAAGAUGAAAGUAGCUGAAAUGAGGAUGUUGAGAUGGAUGUGUGGGCAUACUAGGAAAGACAGGAUUACGAAUAAAGUUAUUAGGGACAAGGUAGGAGUGGCAUCUAUAGAGGACAAGUUGCGAGAAUCGAGUCUGAGAUGGUUCGGGCAUGUGAAGAGGAGAGACAUAGAUGCUCCGGUGAUGAGGUGUGAGAAGUUGUCCAGGACGGGUCUGAAGAAGGGAAAAGGUAGGCCUAAGAAGUAUUGGGGAGAGGUAAUUAGGUAGGACAUGUCAUUGCUUCAGCUUACCGAUGACAUGACCCACGAUAGGAAGGUGUAGAGGUCGAGGAUUAUGGUUGUAGGUUGACAGAUAGUAGUGUGUUCCUCCUAGGCCAUUCAAUAGUACUAGGACUAUUUUUGUAAUUUAAUAUUUAUAAUUCUUUGUUAUGCAUGCAUUUAUGCCCGUUACCAUGUUACAUUGUUGUUAAUAUUCUUUGCUACUUGGUUGCUUUAUUUUCAGUGUUUCUUGAGCCGAGGGUCUAUCGGAAACAUCCUCUCUAUCUCUAUGAGGUAGGGGUAAGGUCUGCAUACACAGUACCCUCCCCAGAUCUUAUUCAUGAGAUCAAACUGAGUUUGUUGUUGUUGUUAUUAUAACAGAUAUAGUACAUAUGUCAAAUUUAUCUUUCAAAUUAUAUGCGCUGAUUAAAUGUUAGUCACAUGAAAUAAGUUGGAUAGAACAACCAUUUUACUAUAUAGUUCUUUUUCUCACUACUAGUCUUAGGGUACGCGCGUUGCGCGUGUACCUCCAUAUUAAUGAGCACUAAGAUUUUCUAAAAGUAUAUAUAUAUAUAUAUAUAUAUAUAUAUAUAUAUAUAUAUAUAUAUAUANNNNNNNNNNNNNNNNNNNNNNNNNNNNNNNNNNNNNNNNNNNNNNNNNNNNNNNNNNNNNNNNNNNNNNNNNNNNNNNNNNNNNNNNNNNNNNNNNNNNNNNNNNNNNNNNNNNNNNNNNNNNNNNNNNNNNNNNNNNNNNNNNNNNNNNNNNNNNNNNNNNNNNNNNNNNNNNNNNNNNNNNNNNNNNNNNNNNNNNNNNNNNNNNNNNNNNNNNNNNNNNNNNNNNNNNNNNNNNNNNNNNNNNNNNNNNNNNNNNNNNNNNNNNNNNNNNNNNNNNNNNNNNNNNNNNNNNNNNNNNNNNNNNNNNNNNNNNNNNNNNNNNNNNNNNNNNNNNNNNNNNNNNNNNNNNNNNNNNNNNNNNNNNNNNNNNNNNNNNNNNNNNNNNNNNNNNNNNNNNNNNNNNNNNNNNNNNNNNNNNNNNNNNNNNNNNNNNNNNNNNNNNNNNNNNNNNNNNNNNNNNNNNNNNNNNNNNNNNNNNNNNNNNNNNNNNNNNNNNNNNNNNNNNNNNNNNNNNNNNNNNNNNNNNNNNNNNNNNNNNNNNNNNNNNNNNNNNNNNNNNNNNNNNNNNNNNNNNNNNNNNNNNNNNNNNNNNNNNNNNNNNNNNNNNNNNNNNNNNNNNNNNNNNNNNNNNNNNNNNNNNNNNNNNNNNNNNNNNNNNNNNNNNNNNNNNNNNNNNNNNNNNNNNNNNNNNNNNNNNNNNNNNNNNNNNNNNNNNNNNNNNNNNNNNNNNNNNNNNNNNNNNNNNNNNNNNNNNNNNNNNNNNNNNNNNNNNNNNNNNNNNNNNNNNNNNNNNNNNNNNNNNNNNNNNNNNNNNNNNNNNNNNNNNNNNNNNNNNNNNNNNNNNNNNNNNNNNNNNNNNNNNNNNNNNNNNNNNNNNNNNNNNNNNNNNNNNNNNNNNNNNNNNNNNNNNNNNNNNNNNNNNNNNNNNNNNNNNNNNNNNNNNNNNNNNNNNNNNNNNNNNNNNNNNNNNNNNNNNNNNNNNNNNNNNNNNNNNNNNNNNNNNNNNNNNNNNNNNNNNNNNNNNNNNNNNNNNNNNNNNNNNNNNNNNNNNNNNNNNNNNNNNNNNNNNNNNNNNNNNNNNNNNNNNNNNNNNNNNNNNNNNNNNNNNNNNNNNNNNNNNNNNNNNNNNNNNNNNNNNNNNNNNNNNNNNNNNNNNNNNNNNNNNNNNNNNNNNNNNNNNNNNNNNNNNNNNNNNNNNNNNNNNNNNNNNNNNNNNNNNNNNNNNNNNNNNNNNNNNNNNNNNNNNNNNNNNNNNNNNNNNNNNNNNNNNNNNNNNNNNNNNNNNNNNNNNNNNNNNNNNNNNNNNNNNNNNNNNNNNNNNNNNNNNNNNNNNNNNNNNNNNNNNNNNNNNNNNNNNNNNNNNNNNNNNNNNNNNNNNNNNNNNNNNNNNNNNNNNNNNNNNNNNNNNNNNNNNNNNNNNNNNNNNNNNNNNNNNNNNNNNNNNNNNNNNNNNNNNNNNNNNNNNNNNNNNNNNNNNNNNNNNNNNNNNNNNNNNNNNNNNNNNNNNNNNNNNNNNNNNNNNNNNNNNNNNNNNNNNNNNNNNNNNNNNNNNNNNNNNNNNNNNNNNNNNNNNNNNNNNNNNNNNNNNNNNNNNNNNNNNNNNNNNNNNNNNNNNNNNNNNNNNNNNNNNNNNNNNNNNNNNNNNNNNNNNNNNNNNNNNNNNNNNNNNNNNNNNNNNNNNNNNNNNNNNNNNNNNNNNNNNNNNNNNNNNNNNNNNNNNNNNNNNNNNNNNNNNNNNNNNNNNNNNNNNNNNNNNNNNNNNNNNNNNNNNNNNNNNNNNNNNNNNNNNNNNNNNNNNNNNNNNNNNNNNNNNNNNNNNNNNNNNNNNNNNNNNNNNNNNNNNNNNNNNNNNNNNNNNNNNNNNNNNNNNNNNNNNNNNNNNNNNNNNNNNNNNNNNNNNNNNNNNNNNNNNNNNNNNNNNNNNNNNNNNNNNNNNNNNNNNNNNNNNNNNNNNNNNNNNNNNNNNNNNNNNNNNNNNNNNNNNNNNNNNNNNNNNNNNNNNNNNNNNNNNNNNNNNNNNNNNNNNNNNNNNNNNNNNNNNNNNNNNNNNNNNNNNNNNNNNNNNNNNNNNNNNNNNNNNNNNNNNNNNNNNNNNNNNNNNNNNNNNNNNAAACUUAAUAAAAGCACAUAAGUCACAACAUGUAUUUAAAUUAGAUAUUUAGCCAUUAUAACAAUUUAAGCGACCAUGCUAGAACCACGGGAUUUGAGGGUUCCUAACACCUUCCCUCGGGUCAACAUAAUUCCUUACUUAGAAUUUCUGGUUCGCAAACUUCAUUUGGAAAAGUCAAAAAUUUCCUCGAUUUGGGAUUCAAGAUAAACCGGUGGCUUGGGACACCAAAAGCCAAACCUUUCCCAAGUGGCGACUCUGAAUUAAAUAAAUAAUCCCAUUUCAAAUAUUGUCACUUAAAUUGGAAAAACUCCACCCGCGCAUCUUACCCUUCGGGGCCGGGCGCGCAAAAAGGAGGUGUGACACAUACGCCUAGACCCCUUAUCCUUAGAAGAGAAAUAUGUGAUUCUCAUGAUCCCAACCCUACAAGACAAUCUCUUACCAACAUGUCUUUACAAUCCUCCACACUUGCUAAUGCAUUUGGAACUUUCACUGCCUCUAGAAAGGAGCACCCCACAUUAUGAAGAUUUAAUGAAGAUAAUGCUUUGGAAUUGCUGGGGAGCUCAGAAUCAAGAAUUCCGUUGGAACCUCAGAUUUUUUCUUACAUGGAAUAAUCCAUCCAUCAUAUGCCUUAUAAAAACAAAGAUGGCAGACCACAUUGAUCUCCUCAUCGAAUUCAACUACACUGAUUUAAUCCAAGUUGCAGCACAAGGUCAUUCAGGAGGUAUUGUACUUUUAUGGGGAGCCCAUGAUUUGGUUGUCAAACCAGUAGCAGUCACAAGCCAAGAGAAACAUGGUUUUGUCCAGGUCAAUGAUCCAAGAACCCGACAUCCAACAACUUAGCCAUUGUGGUGCCAUUGGCAUCAAUAUUGUCAUGAUUCUAUAUUUUGAAGAACCCCUCCCCCCUUUUUUACUUUCAUGCAAUUAGAUUUUGAUGUAAUUGGUACUAGCAACUUACAUUUUAGUCACCUCUUGUAAUCUAGUACUUAACUUUAUUGAUGCAGUCCUCCGUUUCAGCAAAAAAAAUGUCAAAUACACAUAGCCAUAGUCGACCGUCGAUGAAACCACCACAUUUACUAACCAAUUCCACUAUUAACUUAUCUGAACUUUAUUAAUUUUUUUCCACCCAAAGGUCAAUAUGUGUUAUUUUAAGUUUUUCUAUUCCAUAAAAUAAGAACACGCCUAGUCAAAAAUUUCCCAAAACCUCUGAAACGAGGCUCAAGCCAUAGUGCACUGAAAUGGGAGUCAAAGUAGAUCGAGGGUGACUUCUUUGUUGGGGGCAGUUCCGGUCUCAAUUGGUUCUCCAAUCAAAAUUUUAUUAGCAUUUUUUUUCUAAUUAUUCACUUCAUUCACCGAUUACUCUAUUCAAGCUCUGAUCUCCGAGUAUGAUAUGAAGUUAAAAUCAAUUAGGGAGAUCCGAAAUCAGCAAUACAGUUAACUCUCCACUAAUGUGUAUAUCGUCAUGUAUACAUAUAUGUACAUCAUAUUAUAUAUCAUGAAUACAAUGUCGGAUGUGUGAUAUAUGUUAUACAUUACGGAAAACCUUAAAAACCUAUUUCGAGCAGGGUCCUCUGCUGGCAUAUUCAUUCUUUUUCUUUAUUGUAUUAUGUAUGGCAUUUCCAAGUUGAUAUUUUUUUAGCAGUCGCCGUAGUAAAUAGGAGAGAAAAUCUAAUUAAAUUCUUCGUUUUUACAAAAACUUUACAAAAAAAAUAGGGGUAAGCUUGUGACACAUUCACUAAAAAAAUCCUUUUGUAGCCAAUCAUUUAUUAAAAAAAUUGAUAAGCUUAACACAGUAGCAUCAACAGUCUAGCCCAGUUGCUUCCCUUUCAGUCGCUUCCUCAAAUUCUGGAUCUCGCUCUCAGCUUUGUCGAUCCUCUCAAGUUUUAUAUCAUGUUGAAGGCUUAUGAAUCGUUUUCCCCAAAAGAUCGAGCUUACCUCAUCUCAGUUCAAUCCAUAGAAUCUCCGGAGCUUUCCUAGCCACUAUACUUUUCUUUUUUUGUCUUCUUUGUCUGAAAAUUGUGCGAUCGAUCCAAUAAACCAAAGCAUCCUGGCCAACCCACGAUCUCAUCACUUAGUGGUCUGGCAUAUAGUUAAACAGGUUGACCCUGGAAACCGCUUUCUUAAGUAUGCUGUCCUAGGGGACAAUGUAGGAGGACACUCGUUUAUAUGAAAGAAUUUUAGGUAAUUGGGCUUUUUCUUAGUUAUGAACCCCAAAAUUAAUAGGAAAGAGAGCACUGUCUACUCAGACUGUCACACCGGCAACGUGUCGGUGUUGACUUGGAUCUCGGGUGAUGGAAUAAGGCGGCCAGAAGCGACGAGCAGUCGCAGUCGAAGCUUGGCUCUUGCCGAUAAGCUCCCCUUUUUCAGUUGCGUUGCACUGCCGCAUAAAUAAUGGAUCCGCUGGACCUUCGGGAGACAGUGGGGUUUCUAGUGGCAUUCCUGGGGGCCCAAGCUGCGGGUUCGAGCCCCGUCAGUCCCGACAUAUUCAAUAAAUAUAUCAAUUUAUCUCUCCAUUUUCUGUGGAAAAGGGUCUUUUUGGAGCUCCUUCCAAAGAGGUUAGGAUUAGACUUUCAAUUGGAUGUGUCCCGGUCAAAUCUUGUCUGCACAAUAAGAGAAUGAGGGAGCUAAUCUGUUUGCUUGUGUAGGCGAUCCAAAAUUUGAGGAAGCGACUGGAAGGGAAGCAACUGAGCUAGACUGUUGAUCUUUUGGAGUAGCCUGACCCUAGGAAAGAGACUAUAAUCGCCACCGAGAAUAAACAUGUUGUGCUGGGAGAAAGACUGCAAUCUCAGGCAUACUAUUGAUAGAGUAAGGAAAGGACAUGGGAAAAGCGCGCUAAUCAAAUCAUAUCCCUUCUUAGUUCCAGCUAACAGUGACAUACCAACCACGCCCGAUCAUAAAGCCCCCUGAUCCCUUUAUUUGUCUUUCAUCCCCCCAAAGGAGAGACUGGUAGAGAUCAUCUUUGUUAGCGGCAUUCUCCCUUCUAUCUAUAUUAAAUUGAAUUAUGGAGGUGCAAUUUAUUUGGAGGAGGUGGGUUCAAUAAGAAAAGCUAGGGAUUUUCCCUUUACUAGUAAGAGGCAAAGAUCAUCAGCUUUUAGUCAUCUAUCUCGCUACCUACUCCUUUUGCAAAAAGGCUUGAAGGCAAUUCUGAUUCUUCAAUAAAAAUUGAUUUUAAUGCUAUUUUUUUUGUUUUUUAUGAGUUUAGCCAAAUUAUCAUGAAAGGUAAAAGGGGAUAAAGGAACCGUGUGUUGAUUGUCCUGUAAAUAUAAGUUGUCUUCCUCCAUAUGUAAAAAGGGAAUAAAUAAAUCAAUUAAAUUUCGCGAUGCUUCAUGAAGUGCUUCUUUCGUCGCUAAAUAAAACCAAAGUUCCACUACAACCAAGUAAAGAGAUAGAGCAUUCACGGAGCCAUCCUCGUCUCUAGCUCCAACUACAUUUUGUGACUAAGCUGCUUCGGGAGACAGUGAGGUUGUUCUGCUUAGGGAGUAGCCCGUCAAAGAGCCUUAUAGUCUAGUCUACUCAGACCUCUACUAGGGCUAGAGCUAGCUGGAAAAAGAAAAGACUUAGCCAAAAAGAAGUACAUAAUAAGAAAAUGAUCCACGCUCCACCUUCCGUCCACCUUAAACUAGGCUUUCUCCUCGCUUUGAACUCAAAUAAGACCUUCUUUUGGUCGAGUGACUUCAUUCAUGGUCUUCCUAUUCCUUUCGCUUUCCCAGCCUAGCUAAAAGUUCUCCAAAAGUAUGAAAAGCUGGAGGACUUUGUACCAUCCAUUCUAGUGUGGUUGGAGAGCUAAAAGCUUGAGUUGAAUCAGCUGAGAGUUCAAGCCCCUUUUCUUUAUAAUAAGCUUCCACUUUUUGUUUUGUCCAAUUUUUCGGAAAAUACUGUAAAGAGUGGACAAGGAAUUAAAUUAUCCCUGCCGAUGUAUUUUGACAUCCAACAACUUCGGCAGGAUUGUUUAGCCCCGUUCAUCUUCGGUGCAAGAGCGCUCUAUCAGGUUGAUUUAUCAGUUUGAAGAUUGCUGCUACGGGAUCUAGCGGCUCCAGCUGUAUUAACGAUAGUCCUUCAUUGCAACUUAGAUUGCACGAUUAAGUAUGAAAGUCAGUACCAUCUUAAGGACGGGUUUUCUUGUUCAUAUAUCAAGGGAUGGUAAGGUUUUGCGCGUUGUAUCAAAUUAAACCACAUGCUCCACCGCUUGUGCAGGCCCUUUUCAGCCUUUUCUUACUUAUUUUUGAAGAUGAGCCUUCCCGCGUCUUCCUGCACAGGCAUCUGUUCUCCUAAGAUCCAGGUUUCUGCACGAUGAUUUGUUCUAUCGAAUGCAUGGAGAUUCUGUGUGUUGGUGGUUCGAGAAUCUAUGAAAGGACAUAUAAGGCUAAGGUUACGAAGGCCGAGUAAGCAACUGAAGAAAUUUCGUGUAUAGGUUUUCAGUAUUAGAAAGGUCGGGGUGAUUGCAGUAUAUUUUGGCCUGUAGUUAGCUCCGAUGGACGAUUUUAAGUCUCAAAAUUUUAGAAAAAGGCAUCUAUAAAUGUUGUGUUAUAUAUUGAUAUAUACAAGAAGAAAAAUAAAAUUUCAACAUACAUAAAAAGGAAAAUAAAGCUAUAAUAUACAUUUUUAUUACACAUUAUUAUUAUGUAUAAUAAUUAUACAUGCAAUAUGAUUAUUUUUGUAUUAUAUUCUUGGAUAUACAUGCAUCAGUAAAUUAUAGACAACUAUAUUUAUAAUUUAAUAUUUUAGAUCUCUCUCUAAACUUGGAAGGCAAGGUUGAUUAAGUGAAUCAAAGACGAGGAAGGCAAGGUACUGGUGGAAGAGGCGUGUACUAAACGCAGGUGGCAGACAUUCUUCCAUAAACUCUUAAACAAGGAUGGGAUAGGAACAUCAUACUUGGGGAGUUGGAGAACUCGGAGAGCCAGCCUGAUUUUGGGUUUUGUAUGUGCAUUAAGGUUGAUGUGGUUGAGGAGGUUAUACAAAAGAUGAUAAGGGGCAGGAAAACUGAACUGGACGAGAUUUCGGUGAACUUUUGGAAGGAUGUGGACCCGGCAGGAUUGGAGUGGCUUAUUAGAUUGUUUAAUGUUACUUUUAGGACAAAGAAGAUGCCCGAAGAAUAGAGAUAGAGUUUGAUGGUCUCGUUGUACAAAAAAGGGUGAUGUUUAGGAUUGCAACAACUAUAGGGGUAUCACGCUGUUGAGUUACACUAAGGAAGUUAGGGAGAGGGUGGUGGAGAGGAGGGUGAGGAGAAGUAUGUCUAUUUGGGAGAAUCAAUUCAGAUUCAUGCCUGGGCGGUCAACUACAAAAGCAAUUCACCUUGUGAGGAGGAUGAUGGAGCAAUGUAGGGAGAGGAAGAAAGACUUGCAUAUGGUGUUCAUAGACCUAUAGAAAGCCUACAAUAAAGUCUCGGGGAGGUUUUAUGGAGAUGUUUGGAGGUUAGAAGUGUUCAGAUAGCAUCCAUUAGGGUGAUUAAGGAUAUGUACGAUGGAGCUAAGAUAUUGGUAAGGACCGUGGGAGGAGACUCGGAUUAUUUCCUUAUGGAGAUAGGGUUACAUCAAAGAUCAACUCUUAGCCCAUUUUUAUUUACUCUGACAAUGGAUGUGCUAAUGCAACAUACUCAAGGGGAGGUGACGUGAUGUAUGUUAUUCGUAGAUGACAUAUUGCUAAUCGAUGAAAUGCGACGCAUUAAUGCUAGGCUGGAGGUGUGGAGACAGACGCUGGAGUCUAAAGAUUUCAAGUUGAGUAGGACGAAAACAAAAUACUUGGAGUGUAUUAUCAGUGUUGGGACGCAUAUUGAAGAAGUGGACUUGAAGCUUGAUACACAAGUCACCCCCAAUAAGGAUUGUUUCAAAUACCUUGGUUCCAUAAUUAAGGCAUUCCUUGUUCAGAUCUUUGUAAUUUACACACAUUCUUAGCUUAUUUACUUUUUUAGACACUACCAAUAUGUUAGAUAACCAGUCCAGGUAUUUAAUUCGUAAUGAACCCUAUUUUAAGGAGUAUAGAUACCCUGUCCUUGAUGAAUGUAUGCUUGGCCUCGAACUAUGGUCUCCUCUUCUGUUUAACCAGGUGGAACUUCGGUUCCAAACUCAGCUUAUAAGUGGUCACUUCUUAGGGGAUCCUUGUCAUGUCAAGGUGGUCCAAGAGAAACCUUUUAUGUUAGCUUUAAGAAAUUCAAUGAGUUUUUCCUGAGCUUGGGAGUUAACCCCGUGCCCAGAUACACCUUUCGAUCUAGUAGGUCCUCGGUCAAUGACAUUCUCCAACUCCUCGACCAAUGAUUUUGUGGCGUUGGUAUCAUUAGGAGCUACGAACGACCUCAAAACUCCAUAAUCAUCCUCCUUGUCUACUUUAUGGUCCUCCAGUUCGGUCGGGGCUGACACCAGUGGUUACUAUUUAAUUUCUUCCUUUCUAGUCAACUCUGGGUUUCGUGAUGUCGAACUGCGAGCACUAGGAUUACCUUAUCGACUACGAACAUUUACUUAGCAGGUGGUUGUUCUCCGUAGACCGUCUUGACUCCUCUCGGUGUAGGGAACUUCAGUGCUUGGUGUAAGGUUGAAGGUACUACCUUUAUGUUAUGAACCCAUGGCCUUCCGAAUAGGGCUUUGUACCUCAUGUACCCUUCGAUCACAUAGAACUUUGCCUCUUGGAUUGUCCCGGCGGUGUUCACUGGCACGGUUAUCUCCCCUUUAGUAGUUUCUCAUGCCAUGUUAAAUCUGUUCAACACCCGGACCGCCAACACUAUUUGGUUUUGUAACCCCAACUGCUCUACGACCCUCGAUCUGAUGAUGUUGGUUGAGUUACUCUGAUCAAUCAAUACACGUUUAACUUGAGAUUUAUUGAUCAGAGGCGAUUCUUUUCCCAGAGAAAUCACGGUGGUAUUUCUCCCGUACCUUCUUGAAUUCUUUAAUCACCCAAUUGAAAAGACCAUAUGUCACCUUCUUGAUGGUCCACAUGUCAUGCCCUUUUUUCCACCAAUACAAUAAAGGAUCCAACCCAGGGGAGAAUCUAAUAUUCAUUUUAUAAGUUUAUUUGAAUCCUGUAAUUUAAAUGUGUUAGUGUAAUAAUAUUUAGGGGAAUUUGACAUUCCAUGACAAUCUGAUCCAACAAUUGACAUAAAAAAACUAGUUUUUGGAUUUGGCACCUAGUAGACCAAAUUGAACAUUUAUCUAAAUUGAAUUAACAUCCAAUAAUCGAACCAUUUUCCUUAAAUAGCAAAUAAUACUUACCACAUUCUCUUUUUCUAGUGGUGGUUAUCAUCUUAAAAAUAAGCUUCAUUUUCUUUCCAUUAUUAUCUGAAAAUCUCUUAAAAUUUUCUCCCAGAUCUCUCUACUUUCUUUUUCUAACUUUUUUUAAUUUCUCAUUAUAUCAAUGUAUUUCAAGUUUAGAGAAUAACAACAACAAUGUACAACAAACCCAAUUGAAUCCCACAAAGAGGAGGGGGCAUAGAGAAGAUAAUAUGUACGCAGACCUUACCUCCACUUUAUGAAGGUGAAAAGUCUAUUUUCGAUAGACUCUAGGCUCAAUAACAACAGAAGAAAGCAAUAACAAAAUAAUAGCGACAACAAGGGAAAAAAAAAGCGGAAGCAAAUGGCAAAACAUGUAAUAACUAAGAACAAGGAAUACAAGAAUAUAAGACUAGUGUCAACUACUGGUGAUAGUUAUGCACCGUGUAAUAACAAGGAACUAGGAAUAGAAAAAUAUAAGACUAGUGCUAAUAUUACUGAUAAGACAAGGAGAAACUCGCAACAACCUGUCAACCACAACCUUAAUUCUCGACCUCCACACUUUCCUAUCAAGUGUCAUGUCCUCGGUAAGCUGAAGUAGUGACAUGUCAUACAUAAUCUCCUCUCCCUAGUACUUCUCCGGCCUUUCUCUACCCCUUCUGUGACCGCCACAGUCAACCUAUCAUACCUUCUGACCGAGACAUUGGCGCCUCAACUCUUCACAUGCCCAAACUAUCUCAGCCUCGAUUCCCGCAACUUGUCUACUACAAGAGCCACACCAUCUUGUCCCUAAUAACUUCAUUCCUGUUUUGUCUUUUCUGGUAUACCCACACAUCCAUCUUAAUAUCCUCAUUUUUUGCUAGUUUCAUCUUUUGGACAUGAUAUUUCUUGACAGGCCAACACUCGACUCCAUAUAACAAAGUCGGUCUAACUACCACUUUAUAGAACUUACCAUUAAGUCUUGGUCGCAUAUUUCUAUUGCAUAAGACGCUCGAUGCGAGCAUCCAUUUCAUCAGUCGUGCUCCAUACGAUGUGUAACAUCCUCAUCAAUCUAUUCAUUACAUUGUAAAGAUUCUUUUCCCUUGCCUAACAUUGAUCGGAUGAUCGACACGACGGCCGGGCACGAGAUACUCAGCUUUAUUGAUGCCUAUUUUGGGUACAACCAAAUUUGGAUGGACCUAGGCGAUCAAGAAAAGACUUCUUUUAUCACUAAAUUCGGCACCUAUUGUUAAAACAUAAUUCCAUUUAGAUUAAAGAAUUUUGGCACCACCUAUCAAUGCCUAGUAAACUGUAUGUUUGAAAAACAAAUAGAAAUAUUAAUGGAAGUUCAUAUUGACGACAUGUUAGUCAAGUCACUGCGAGAAGAGGACCAUUUGAAACAUUUUUAGUAAACCUUCGACAUAUUAAAGAAAUACAAUAUGAAGCUGAACCUGGAGAAGUGCACAUUGGGGGUUGGAUCUGGAAAAUUCCUCGGGUUCAUGGUAUCUAAUCGAGGGAUCAUCCCGCAAAAUCAAAGCCAUAGAAGGCAUCACUGUGGUGAAUAACAUCAAGGUCAUUCAAAGGUUGACCGUGCGUACAGCCGCCCUGGGCCGUUUCAUAUCGAGGUCCUCAGACAAAAGCCAUUGCUUCUUCUCACUGUUGAAAAAUAAGAAUAACUUUUCGUGGACCCUAUAAUGUCAACAAGCUUUGGAAUAACUCAACCGGUACCUAUCAAGUUCACCCCUUCUCCACACUCUAAAGGCAGACGAAUAAUUGUACCUUUACUUGGCGGUUUUUGAACUGGCGGUAAGUGGAAUCUUAGUCAAGGAAGAGGAAGGUACGCAAUUUCCUAUUUACUAUGUUAGUAGAACUCUAGCCGAGGCUGAAAUAAUGUACCCUCACCUAGAAAAAUUGGUGCUCGCUUAGCUAAGCGCCACUAGAAAGUUAAAACCGUACUUUCAAUGCCACCAUAUGUGUGACGUAACCUCUUACCCACUAAGGUGCAUCAUGCACAAAUCUGAUCUCUCGGAUCGGUUGGCCAAAUGGGCUGAUAAAAUCAGCAGGUACAAUAUCGAGUAUUGACCCCCAAUCCCCAUAAAUUCAACUUUUGGCAGACUUCGUGGCCGACUCUACGCCGGCCUUAAUACCUGAAGUUGAAAAGUUAUAUUGCUAGCCUCGGGAUUACCUUGGGAAUUUGAACAGUUUUUACAAACGGUGCCUCGAACACAAAGGGGUAUGAGCUUAGUAUCGUGUUAAAACCAUGUACGAGGAAUAUAGUUAGGCAGUUUAAUAGAACUGUGAAAUUAACUAACAAUGAGGCCGAGUAUGAGGCCAUAAUUGCAGGUGAUCGAAGCUAAGUGCAACUCCCUCCUCAUGGUAAAUUAGUCAAUAGGUCGUUUGAAGUGAAAGAGGAACAGAUGCAAAAGUAUUUAGACAAAUGACAGGUAAUGCCGCAUCAAUUCAAGGAAUGUGCAUCACGUUCCUCGAGAUCAUAAAAGAGAGGCUGAUGCUCUAGCUAAUUUCGGAUCGUUGGUCGAUGUCGAUGAAUUAAGUUCGGGAACACUAGUACAACUCAUGAAUUCAGUGAUAGAAGAAGGACACACCGAAGUAAAAUCAACGAGUUUACCUUGGGAUCGGAGGAAAAAGUACAUAGAUUACUCAAAGAUCGGGAAUCACCCUCGGAUCCUAGAGAAUCGAGAGCCAUGAAUAUCAAGGCUGCAAGAUUUAGCUUGGUCAAAGGGACAUUAUUUAGGAGAACGUUCGAUGGCCCGCUGGCCAAAUGCUUGGGGUCGGGAUAUACCAAAUACGCCUUGAGAGAAGUUCAUGAAGGCACUUGCAGGAACCAUUUGGGAGAAGAAUCUUUGGUUCGAAAAUUAAUCAGGGACGGCUAUUACUGGACCGAAAUUUAGAAAGAUGCAAAGGACUUUGUACGAAAAUGCGACGACUGCCAGAGACACGCACGGAUUGGUCCAUCAACUUGGAGAGCUACUCCACUCAGUCUUAUUCUCGUGACCAUUUAUGAAGAGGGGAAUGGACAUCGUCGGUCCCCUACCUUGGGCACUCAGUAAGGCUCAAUUCACACUAUUCAUGAUCGAUUAUUUUUUCAAAUGGGUCGAAGCUCAAGAGUUCAAAAAGUCCAAGAUAAAGAAGGGAUUGACUUCAUCUGGGACGAAAUAAUAUGUCGAUUUGGGACACCGACCGAGGUCGUUUGAGAUAAUAGGAAACAAUUCAUUGACAGCAAGGUAAAUAGAUUCUUCAAAAAUCAAAAGAUCAAGAAGACACUGCCUACACCUUACCACCUUAGUGGGAACGGACAAGCAGAAUCAACAAACAAAACCAUACUUCAAAACCUAUGAAAGAGGUUGACCGAUGUCAAAGGGAAAUGGAAGGAAAUCCCGCUCGAGGUCCUGUGGGCAUACCGCAUGACCUCAAAGUCUAGUACUAGGCCACCCUGUUGUCGUUGGUUUAUGGGGUCGAAGCCUUAAUACCAAUAGAAGAGUCAAACGACGAGGCCAUAAUCACGAGCCGAAAACUAUUAGAUGAAAGGCGGAAGGUUUCUCGAGUCCGGUUGACCUCCUUGAAACAACGAAUAGAAAGAUAUUACAAUCGAAGAGACAACCUUCGACAGUUAAAGAUAGGUGACUUAGGGUUGAGGAAAGUGACAUUACACGCCCGGAACCCGAACAAGGGGAAGUUGGGCCUGAAUUGGGAAGGACCAUAUCGAGUCGUCAAAAUUAUCGGUAAAGACUCGUACAAACUCGAAGCAGGAAAUGGUGUGCAACUACCGAACAACUGGAACAUGACACACUUAAAGCGAUACUACUGCUAAGGUACAGACUCAAUUACCCUUUAAUCAUGUUAUGAAUCGGACUAACAUUUGCAGGCAAACGGCCAAGGAUGGAUGUAGCUAUUAGGUCUGAAAGCACACGUUUCACUUUUUUUUCCUUGAACAGAUUUUGUCCCACAACAAGGUUUUUAAAGAGGCAAUAGUAAAACAUACUAACUUAAAUUCAAAGAUCAGUCUCAAACCAGAGUCAAUGAUCGUUCACUUCAUAUCAAUAGUAUCGGAGCCCUCUCAAGCUCGACCUCAAAUGUUGGGGUCCAUUACCCUCGGACUAAGGUUUUUUGCAAGGAAAAAAGAAAAAUCUUAUAUGAUAGAAGCUAAGUCUUGGUGGUUAGGAUUAAUUCUAAGGGUCAAAUGGUCAGAUAAACCAUGUUUACAUAGUCCACUCUAGCCAUGAUACAAGUUUUUAUGUGUUUUUGAUCAUGUACUUUACACACUGAUAAAUGAAAGAAAGUUCCUCUUUGCUAUUACGCAUUUUCUUGCUUCUUCAAUUCCGGAUCUUAAGAGCCCACGGACUACCCCUACUCGGGGACUAUCUAGCCCAUGAGCUACCCCUACUCGGGGACUAUCAAUCCCAAGGGCUACCCUUACUCGGGGACUGUCACCCGAAGAAAGUUCGAACAACCGGGGCUAUCGAAUUCCGGAGGAACCAAACCUAUUAAGCAGUGCCCAAAUACAAAUGGCUCGGAGAUGUCUGAAGCUCAUUAUCAGAAAGUAAGACCUUUAUAAAAACUCUAAACCUACUAAAAGGUUACUCUUGGCAAAAGCAUUGUCUAAAAUCACUUAAACAUCUUGAAAACUUCCUGUCACACCGAGGUUUCAAAGCCUCAAGAAAAAAAGUUGUAUUGAACUCGGGCUCUGCUCGGACUUCCGAAAAAUGAAUGCCCCAUAACUAUAUUUGAUUAUAUGCUAAGGCAUCAAAAACAUUACAUGAAUAGAAAUUAUAAAAAGAGCCUGGAAAAGUAAAGACACGAUAUUUCUAGAAAGGGAAAAUUUCAUAUAUAUUUCGCAAUAUAUUUACAAAGGCCCAAUAAGAACAGCCUCAAAAUAAACAAAAAAAAAUAUACAUAAGAGAAAACAAAAAUAGAAAAAGUACUAAGGCAUCUAUGCCUGGUCUUCAUUGGGGCCCGAGUCAUCAUCAAAACUGUCGGAGCCAUCAGAACCCUCGGAGCCUUCGACACCCUUAGGCUUGCAAAGCUCCUUUUCCUCAGCCUCGAGCUUUUUGUCUUCCUCGAUCUCGACUGAAAGGUCGAAACCUUGAGUGUGGAUCUCUUCGAAGGUCUGUCUUUAGGCGAGUCUCAGCUGCCUCCACAUCGGCCUUAUAGUAGGCUACUAUUUCUUCGGCAUCAAUGGAGGUUAUGUCCAAUUUGGACUUCAGUGCCUCAUAUUCUCUACCGAGGGCAUCCCGCUUUGCGACGGCUGAGCUCAACUAUGCUCGAAGAUCAUCAUUCAGCUGAGACCAUUUGUCAGCUUUAUCCUUCAUCAACGGGUGUUGGUUCUCAACCGAUGCCACAUCCGCCUUUGCGGUUUCCUUCUCCGAAGCCAGCAGGUCCAUUUUACCAUUCCACCCUUCGGCCAUGGCCUCCUUAUUCUUCUCGGCUCAGUGCUGGCCAAUCAGGUCGAUCUUCUGUUAGACCUGCAAGCUUAUGUUGUUAGUCACCACACUAGCUCCUUGUUUUUAGCUUCAAAUACAUUUACCUUUUCAACUAGGUCAGCAUGUUCCCGCUUCAGGGUCGAAGCUUCCUUUUGAGCCUAGUCUUGCUCGGCAUGGAGGUCUUUGAGGGCCCGUCAUGUUGCUCACUGAAAAGCAUGUACAUGUCCUUCUUCCAGACCUGCUCUUUAAGCUCAAACUCGAGCCAGCUGAUUUCCAAGCGGUAUCGGAGGAAGAUCUCAUUGUGAAGUACUAAGGCAUGUAAAACAAUGAAAACAAUACAAGACAUCAAACUUAAGCGGAAUUCACAAGGGGUUGUAAGGGUGUUGAUGUAUAACCUGGUUCAUUGCCUGAUGCGCCUCGUUAAAAAGACUUGAAGCACCCACCUCAUUUAUCUUUGCCUAGUCCUCCUUGAUCACCAGGCAUUGGAGGUAGUCGACUACGUCUACUAGAGUAGAUAGGACCCGAGCAUCCUCCAGGACCGUAAGAAUGACCGUUCUCUUGUAGCUAGGAUCCAUGCUCGGUGUGGGAAACCGCUUCACCAGUUUUGGGCUCAAAUUCAGCCCGCCAGCACCUGAGGGCACGUCCUUCUUCGGGAUAUCCAGGUCGCCCAACCCGAAAAAAGUCCUCCAAUGAAGACAUGUCCAUACCAUCAAAAUAGGAGUUGAGGGGGUCAUCUGAACCCUGCACUCCCUUACUUGAUUUUUCUUUGCCCGCUUAGGCUUCCUCGAGCAUGGACUCAGUAGUAGGGCAUUUCUAUGAUUCCUAUGAAACCAGUCACCUCCUUAGGAACAAAAUCGGCUUCCUAGGAGGUCACAACCUCCAUCUCCCCCUCAGCUUCACAAUCCUGAAGAGGAUCAGCCUCGUGGCCCCUUUUAUCGAUCCUCGACUGCUCCUUGGUGGGGGUCGUUCCAUGGGUGAUGAAGAUGUCAUCUUCUUCGAGUUCAUCCCUGAGUCAGUAGAGAUAGCCAGGGUCUAGUGCCCUAGACUUGGUAUUCUUCUUGGGUUUCCAGGCCUGGGUGGCUACUCUUUCUUCCUCUUUCCCUCGGGGUCUAGGGAACCUGAGGACUUUCUCUUUUUCUUUUUCUCCUCCUUCGCGUCAGCCCCGACUGUCCCGAAAUGAAGGGCUCAAUAGGAAAAUACGGACCUUCAUCAUUAUCGAGCGGCCUAAGCUCAGUGGUCUUAGGCAUACCUACAAGAAAAGGGGAGAAGUUAACACUAUGUAAGUUAAAAACGUGAUGAUAACAAUUUAGGGAAGUUGCCUCACCAUGAGAACAUGACUCCUAUCUACCAUUUGAGAGCUUGCGCCAUGUGCGCUCAGAGUAAGGAAUCUACAUACAAAUCCCCUUGAUCCACUCCUUAUAGGGGAUUACAUUUGGAACUCGGGCAACGGCUGCACGACCACAAACAUAAGCGAUGAGAAAAAAGAAAUAGAAGGGAAGGAGUACAUAAGAAAGGCAGUACUUAUGGGAUGCGUUCCACUCCUCAGGGAACGGUAGAAACUCGGGGGGGGGGGGGGGGAGGGAAUCAGGUCUUCGGUCUUCACCCGAACGAACCACCCCUGCCAACCUCGAUCUCGGUCCUCGUCAAUGCUCGAGAAAGGAGCCUUGCUUGCUUGGCAGACAAAAUUGAUCUGUCCUCCUCGGAAGAUUUAGGGACUGUAUAAAUAGAGUAGGUGGUUGAGGGUGAAUCACCGAGACUCGGUGUUGUUUACGAAGCAGCGCAAUAGGAUCACAAUCCUCAAGAAGGAUGGAUGGAUUUGAUCGACACACACCUCAUAUCUCUUGUAGAAAGCAAGAACUAUGUGAUCCACAGGGGCGAGCGUAAAGGGGUAAGUGUAAACACUAAGAUACCCCUUCACAUGAGUGGUUGUAUCGUCACUGGGCCCAGGGACAACCACAUGUUUACCUUCUCACUUACAGUCCGCUCGAACUACGGGUAAGGCUUCUUUGGUGAUAGAGCAUAUGUAUAUCGAUGCCCCCUCACCCCAAUCUUGUUGGCUAGAGGCCUUCUCGACCUUGAAGUCAUCCCCGGUUGAGCAGCCCCGGGUAUAAAGCUUUUGAUGUGAUGCUCUGGGGCCACCUCGGGAGAAGCCACUUUGGCAUCUGCGGCCGAAUGGGAAGAUAAAGGGCAGCCUGCCGAGAAACUGAAUAGGAAGUUUUAGCCAUCAUGAUCAAGGAAGAUAUGAAGAUUUGAAGGAAAAGUAUAAAGGUUUGAAGAAAUAAGUAUGAAGGUUUGAGGAAAAGAGUAUGAAGAUUUGAAGGUGGGAUGAAGAUCUGGGUUAGAAGUCUAAGAAAAAAUAUGAAGAUUUGAAGAUCAGAGAUGAAGAUAUGAAGAUUUGAAAAAGUCGAAAGCCGCUAGAAAAUUUGAAGGUAAAAGCUAGGAUAAGAAAGUUAAAGAAGUAUAAAAGGUCGAAGCUUUUAUAGGGGAAAAUGUAAUCAAUACGCGACGUUUCACAUUCAAAGGAAACAAGUUGAUGAUCAACACGUGUCUAACGUCAGAAUAAUGCGAUUGAUGGGAUGUUUCAGGUUAUCCAUCAUCUCGGUUGUAAUGUAAGAAGGAAGGAAUAGGUUCAUCUAUCAUUUCCCAUCAUUUCGAUAAACCUACUCUCUAGUAAAUGAGGGGACUAUUAGUAAAUGGGUGAAACUGGGAAUAACACACACUCCAAUUUCCCGAUGAGUCAAACGAAGAAAGGGUAUGAAUACAUGGGAUCGAAAUAAAAGCUGGGAACUUCUUGUACCGAGGCUCGAAUGGAGUGCUCACCAUUGGACUUGAUAAAACAACACGUCCUAGACCUAGGAUGAGUUCUGAGACUUGGGGAAGCGCAUGAACGGUGGUAGGAGAUAGAUUGAAGGUUGUGAUAUUCAGAACUAACCGGAUAUCAUGGCGCGGAUCUCGCUUUAUGGUAGUUACAAAUCAGUAAUUAACGAGAGAGGACUUUUACCUUUUUUAGACUUGUACUAGGUGUGAAACUCUCCUACUAUAUAAAGAAAAAGUUUUUUCUUUGAUAACAUGCGUUGUAACAUGCAAACCAACGCAAUACAAAUUCAUUUUUCUGCUUUCUAGCUAUUGAAAAGUUCUUAUUUUAUUGUUGUUCUUCAUAUACAUUUGCCUUCGAACCAAGGGUCCUAUCGAGGGCAAAAUCCAAGUUCAGCCGUAACAUUACAAUUGAUUUGGUUAUCCACUUAGUAUUUAAAUCGUUUAUCUAAUAUUCUUGAUUAUUUGUAUUGAAUUAAUCUAUGUAUCUUUAAAACCACGUAUAAAUUCAAUUGUUAUCCGUUUUAAGGGUAAAUAUUUUUUUUUGGGGGGGGGGGGGUUUCUUUUUUCAUAUGUUGAUAAAAUACAGAAUUAAUGUUCUAGUGUAACAGCAAGUAUCGCAGCUCAGCAUAAACUUGAUAAUUUACUCAAUUUGAUUCAUAUUAUUUGUAUUUUACUGAAGAGUUUAUUUCUAAAAUAUUCUUCAUCUUAACAUUUCACCUAAUUAAUAUUUAGUAACUGAUAGAGUGUCCUUGAACAAAGUGGUUGAGGGAGUUUUUCCAACACCACUAGGUCUGGAAAAAAUAGUUUCUAAAUAACAAAUUUUGUAAAACAAACUCAAUCUGUCAAAAGUUGAUGUUUGAUAUGGGAGGAAUUAUAACUUUUAUCCAUUUUUAUUUAAUGGAAUGAAUAGUGCAAGGAUAUUUUAUAGAAACACCUAAUGAAUCCCAUAACCACAAAAUUUUAUCUCUCUAAGUAUUUGCUCUCCGUACAAUACUAUUAUUACCAUCUCAACGUUCGGAUUUCCAUCGCCCUUCCAUGGGCUCGCCGGACGGCAAUCCGCCGGCAACUGUAAUCAUUUUCACAGACCCAUCAAUUAAGGUGAGUCCUUCUGGGAAAGAAUCGGAGGUGAACAAAAUCCACUUAUACCACAACUUUAACUGAUUGCCCAGGUUCCUCUGCGACCCAAUUUCGCCAAGAACCCCAACACGUCAAAGCUAGAAGGACAACUCACAAUGGAAUAUAUGCAGUCAUCUUUAAGACUAGAGAUUAUUAUGGAGUUAUGGCGUGUCAAUGUAAGCGAACUAUUGUGAGCCGAUUUUUGAAAAAUAAAACCUCAAAUCGACAUCAUAAGAUCUAGAUUUUCAAAAAAAUUAUCUCUUAAAGGAAGCGUGAAGAUAGGCAUAUAUGACAAUUUUAAUGUGUUUCUAAGCUUCACAAACAACAAAUAUUAUAAUUUAAUUUUCUACAAAAGAAUGAUUGAAAUUGCAGGGCUUCAAAUGUGGUUAUAGAGGUGGACACCUGAUUUUAAGCCCGAGAAAGAUCUCCAUAUUGCUUUGGUAUGAGCCUUACUUUCAGGUUUGCCUUUCCAUAUGCAUAAUUAUUUUUAUAUAAAAUAAAUUGUUAUUGAUGUUGGAGUCUCUCUAGAAUUGGAUAUUGCGACUAAAACUCUCAACAGACGUAGUGUGGCAAAAGUUAGAAUUGAAAUUGAUUUAUUAAAGACGUUGAUUACUAGUGUUUGGGUAGGGGAUGAGGAUGAAGAAUCUCCAUUAAAAGGGUUUACUCAGAAAAUAGAGUAUGAGAAUAUUCCUAAAUUCUGUAAGAAUUGUAGGAAAUUAGGACAUAAUUUGAAAAACUGCAGAGUCCUAGAACGAAAGAAGAAUGAGGAGGAAAAAGGGAAGGAUUAAAAACUGAAGGAGAACAAUAAGAACUAAAAUACUUCAACAAAGACUGAAAGUAAGAAUUCACAAGAAUCAUUUUAGGCUUCUCUACAAGAGGAAGAAAAAAACAUGUACUUGUUAAGGAUAAGGCCAUUACCAAAAGGGUAAAGAGUGAACCUCCUAAGAACUUUAGACCUACCAGAGUGAUUUAUGGGGUUGACAAACCUUUACCUACUUUAGAGCCUAUUACCAAGAUUAGUACUACAUAUGUUAUUAAGGUCAAUGACGCCAAUGAAGAAACUGAGGAGAAGAAUGAAAAUGCAAAGAAAAAAAUGCUAGGAAUAUACCCCAAAGCCUAAUCAAAAUGAUGACACACAAAAUGACAACAACAUGAGUACUGAUUAUAUUGAGAAAGUUGGGAGAAGGAAUGUUGAAUCAAAGUUGGAUACAAGGGACACCACAAAGAAUAAUGAAACAAGUGACCUACAAAUUGACUCAGUUGGGCAAGAAUGACAAGAAGCUAAAAGCAAAAAAGUCAAAAAAUAGGAUGAGCAGAAUGGAAAAGAUGAGCAAUGUUAUUUGCAAGAUCAACAAGGUUAGAAAACUACUACUACUCAGAAUAGUUUUGAAAAAUGAGAAAAUACAUAAGUUACCCAUCAAACUUGUCCGGAAAAAUCAUUUACACACCUUAACUUUACGGGCGACCUAUGUCCCCCUUAUUUUUGUUUGAGGUGAAUUUAAUAUCACCCUAAAUGGUGACGUAGUAAAGGCAGUAGUUUCAUUCUCCCAAACUCGCGUGUAAGAGGGAAAGGAUUAAAAAUAGACAUAUAUUUUUACCGUGUGCGUCCCUUUUUCUUUUACUUCUUCUUUUCUUAUUUUUUGGUCUUUUUAUUUUCUCUCUCUACCUUUUCUUUUUCCUGUCACCAUUUCCCUUUUUCCAUCCAAGAUACUUUUGUAUCUCCAUUNNNNNNNNNNNNNNNNNNNNAUAUAUAUAUAUAUAUAUAUAUAUAUAUAUAUAUACUAGACUAAAAAAUCCUAUUUUUAUAAUUUAUUUCUUGUAAUAUUUCAUUGAAAAAUAUUGAAUAAAUAAUGUAAUCUGGCCUGUUUGGAUAUAAAUUUUGCCGAAGCUUGAGGGAUUUUAACUGACUGAAAAGUUUGGAAUUUGUCAGCUUCAUUUUUUCGAAGAGGAAUUUUCCCGUACUUUUUAAAGCUGAAAGUGUUGGAUCUUCCAUGGUGGUGUAGGUGGUGAUGAAGAUGACACGGAAAAAAAGAGUUAAAAAAAGUAACGAAAUAAGUGGGAAAAAAUAAAGGAGCUUUUGACAUGUGGCGCGCGUGUACUAUACAUCCCACCACAAGACUGACUAUGUGUUACCAAUGGGAUAUUAAAUUCAUCCCAAACUAGAAUAGGGGGAACAUAGGUCGCCCGUAAAAUUAAGGUGUGUAAAUAAUUUUUCCUAACAAGUUUGAUAGGCAUUUUAUGAAUUUUCUCUUGAAAAAUCAAGGGAGGAAGAAGUGGAACAAAAACAAAACAAGGAUAUGGAGGAACUUUCUCAGGAAGUGAAACAAAAAGAUAAGCCUAAUGAGAAACCUAAUGAUGAAUUGGCUGAUGCUAGCUCCUCAGAUAAUAAUACCUCAGAGGAAUCCUCAGAUAGGCAAGAUGAAAUUUUGAUCCACAAUAUGGUAGGAUCUCCUUCUCAUAAAUAGAAGACCAGCACCGACCAAAGUGAUAUGAAAGGGAGGGAAGAUCCUCAGUACAAGAAACAUUACAAAGUCAAAGCUAGGCACAAGAUCAGAGAGUCCCCUAUUACUAGAGGACAAAAAUUUAACUCCCAAAAAACUUCUGUUAACCCUUCUGAUGAUUAGAAUCCUCAAUUGGAAUAUAGUUUGUGUGAAAUCAAAAGCAUCUACUGAAAGGCUUAAAAGUAUGAUUAAACAACACAGAGUCUCCCUUGUGGUCAUUCAGGAACAUUUUGUGAAGGAGACCAAAAUUAAUUCUUACAACCUAAUUCUGGGCAUGCAAGUGUCAUGAACCAAACUGAUGGGCGCCAACGGGCACCCGGUACCUUACUUAACUGAGUACCUACGUAACGUAUAUUUCGUAUCAUACUAUCAUAGGUAAAUGAGUCAGAGAGGCUAUCGUGAGAUAAGUAGAAUAAAACAUGGGGAAAUACUCAACAUUGGACGACCCAACAUGUAAUCUAAACUUAUACGUAUGACGUACGGGCCUAUAAGGCUGACAUGAUCCUUUAUAUACUCAAAACUAUGCCGAUAGGGCCAUACAAGAAUCCGUAUACAUGAUAUCAGUCUACAAGUCUCUAAAAAUACAUUAUAUCAUAAAGGUCGGGAUAGAGCCCUAUCAUACCAAUCGAUGCACGUACUAAUCAUACUGACCAAAUAAGCAACUUCGGAGCAAAUGGCGCGCACCAACAUCUUUCGCUGAAGCUAAUAGCCUACUUGGAGGACUCUUAACCUGUCUAUCAGAACUUGUGGGCAAGAAACACAGCGUCCCCAGGAAAAAGGGACGUCAGUACAAAUAAUGUACCGAGUAUAUAAGGAAUGGAAAUCAGUAAACAAUAGACAUGAGAGAAACAUGGAGUAAAAGACUCGACAUGUAAGUUUGAAUAGCUCUAUGAAUCCUUUAAUAUUUAAAAAUGGCAUGCAUAUGCAUAUAAAUGCCAUACCAUGCAUGGGUAUAUACGUUCAUAACAUCAUCAAGCCUCUGAGGGCAUCACAUCAUAUCAUCUCGACCACUGCGGGCAAAUCAUCAACGUAUACCGGCUGAUCAAAUGGUGGUGCGUAUAUAACACUGUAACUUUUUCUCAUAUCCCAUAUACAUAUAUAUACAUAUAUACGCGUAUAUAACGCCAUAUGAUCAUGGGUCAAUGUACAUGAAUGCAAUACAUGAGAAGUACGUCAAUAAAAUCUCUUAGAAAGUCAUAAGACCAUUAUGCCUUUGAGUAAUAUCAUAAAGUAAACUUUUUUCAACUUCCAUAUUUUUCUGAGACCCAUGAACAAAUGAUAGAAUAAUAUGACACAUGCGGAAUCAAGAACAUAAACAUCUCUAGUAUUUUUAUGAAUAGAGUCAUUUAUAGAAAUUUCGUAUUUGCUCAUUUCGUUUGUGUCGUAUAGAUCAUGCCAAAAGAAAGAAGGGAUAGCCUUAACAUACCUGAAUCGAUUCUCUUAACAAUCCUUAUAACACAUGCCAAUCACGACGAAACACAUAACAACGAAACCGAAAUAGGGAACAAUCCGUAUGAUAUUCUUGAGAAAGAUUGCAUUGUACUCCCUUAGAUCUGAAAUUCCACAUUGCUAUUACGCGAUAAUUCCAUAUGAAUUUGUUGCUGAAACUCCACCCAUUACAAAGUAGAUAUAAAGCAUUUACAUGCAUUUUGUGGCUCAAAGAAAGGUCUUUUAAUAUAAUUCUCCAACAAGAAUGAGAUAGGAUGCCCAUAUCUUUAAAGUCUUGCAACCACCUCCUUAAUCACUUAAUUAGGUGGAAAGUUGCUGCCAUAAUUCUACAAAUCCACGUGGAAGUAGUGUCCCUAGUGAUUAUUCAAAAUGUCAUAUAAUUAUUUAUCUACAAAAUUCAAUUUACAAGUUAAUUUCCCACUAAAAAAAUCCAUAAUUACUCAAUUAUUCACAUUAUAAAAAAUUAUGUCAAAUUACUUAAAAUGCUACUCUCUUUUAACACACUUUAUACAUCUUACUAUCAUGGUUAUGUGGUACAUUGUAUGGUACUAGUCCAUAAAUACGAUAGCUUGGACUGCAUUUUAUCCCAAAAAAGUUAAAUUUUGACGAAACUCAUCUUGUUCGAUUUGCUUACCCUCUCAACUUCAAGAUUUUACUCAUUACUUGUUUGAAAUAGCAUAAUCCUUAUAAUCUCAAAAUAAUCUCAUUCCCAAACUUACGUUGAUUAACUUACGACGAAAUUUCAAUGUUAUGAAAAUGCAGGAUGUAACAUCAUUCCCCCCUUUGGAAUAUUUGUCCUUGAAUGUUGACUGAUGCACUUAUCAUUAUCAUAACCCAUAGUUCUUAUGAAUACUUUAGUACUCCUCUUUCCAUCUAGGCAACUAUUUUGUGGAUAAUUCUAAAGGCUAGGGCAUCCCCCUUUUAAGCCUCUUUUUCACACCAUGACUUGUGGUCGGAAUCCUUCCAAUCUUGUAACUGUUGCUACCUUUUAUCAUGCAGACUGUAUGACAAAGACUUUGUGAGUGCAUCUAUGCGACUCCUCUCCUUUUUGUUCCCGCUACUAGCCAAUCUCUAAGCCUCACUUUGUGAACAUGUACUAAAUAAUGUCAAGUUGUCCCUCUGAGCGUCAUUAACUUUACUACAUCUAAGUAGGUCAUACUAUACCAUAACUCUUACUUGGAUUUAUCGUUAUUGAGGUUUGCUACCAACUCCUGGUUACUCUCGUUUCUUAUCCUUAAGACGGAUGACCUAAUCUCAUCUCAUACUUUGUAAUUUUUAUCCAUCCCUUGUUGAUUCACCUCAGUAUUGAUCUAUUAUCUACCAUUGAUAACUUGAGAUCUUAUGUAACACAAACGCUAAGGCUCACGUCUUAUCGGUGAACAUCUAAAAUGAUUGGACUGAUCUACCUGGGGGCGAUACCAUGCUUCCAUAACCGUAUUUCAUAGUAUCCCAAUGUGAUUCACCUUACUUGGGUAUUUUAAUCCCGUACAAUUCGAGAAAUCCUCUUCAAGUCAUUACUCAAUGGAAUGCCCAAACACCAUUCUUUAUCCAUCACAAUUACACCCUCAUUCUACUACCCGGGCAACAUUCCAUUUCUUCUAAAUAUCAUUAGUCUUAGACUCCUUUGAGUUCAUUCAGGCUAUACUAAGCUUUGUAUAACUUAGAGAAACCAUCAACUCUUCUUGUUUUCAUGGGCUUAAUCCUGAUGAUUUUUCCAUUCUCGUCCCCUUCUCACUCGCCCUUUCUUAUCCUUACUCAUGUCUUCCUAAUACCUUGUCGCUUUACUAUACUUUAGUUUGCCACUUACACAUAUCCAUUUAUACUACUCGCAACAUCCCUUCAACUUGCUUGCACCAUAGAUUUCCUUAUGUUAUUUUUGGAAUAUCAAGCGAGACACCGCAUUGUCUCAAACUCUUCUUUACUCUUUUAAUUUAGACCUCUCGAUACCUAGAACCCAUAGGCUGGAAAAUAUGCAACUAACGACGCUGCUAUCAUUCUUGAAUAUAGUAUCCCAGUACUUCUAGCCUUUUGUUCGAAGCAUGGACAAUUCACAAUCUUUUGCAUUUGAGUAUCUUGUACGUUGUUCACAUUUACCUUACUUACCUUAAAAAUCUUGCAUCACAUCUUCUAUCUCUUUCAUGACCUCCCUUCAAUAUAGGUAUGAUUCGCAUCCACAACUUGAAGCUCUAUUAUAAUCCUCGCAUAUCCUUACACAAUCCGGUGAGAGUUUCAAACUGACUUCUUAUGAGGUUGGUACCCUUUUAACUGGUUUUAUGUAGGCUUAAGCUAUCUUCUGAUCUGCGGCUCAUGGAAUUUAGUUAUUACUUUAACCUUUCAUGGAUGCUAUCGAAAACCAUUGUACAAUCUUUUAAUGAUUCAAUCAUUUGUCUAUGACCAGGAUCCAAUUCCUUCUUUUAACUCAUACCGAAGUCUUUUGCGGCUGAUCAUUAAUUGAAUAAUUCCUUUCGUUCCAUUUCAACUUUCUUCAAAUGUAAGCAAUUGCUUUUCCUAGUCUUUUUGCCCCUUGUUGCGUGCAUACUUAGCUUAUCUGAGUUCUCACACGUGCCAAAAUUUUUGUGCAACUCAUAUGGUCUCGAAUGUUACUUUUGGUUUUACUCCCCGCUCAUUAGCCAUGGCAGGUUCCACUUUCUUUUGGAGUGCAUAUAAUUUUGUAGUGAGACUAUUAUUACACAACCAUUUCCUCCUUAGGUUACUGAGCUUAGGUUGAAUCCUUCUUUCUUAUUUUCUCAGCUAGUCUUUCAUUAUAGUACUUAGGGAGGAUCCUCUGACUCUUGUAAAGUUGCGAGCUUAUCACAUUGUAUGCUUGACGGAAUUUUUGAUGUUCUUCCUCGCCUAUAAUUAUCUGUAGUUACUUAUCUCCAUGCCCUUGUUCCUGUAGGGUUGCUUCUGAACUAAUAUUUUGACUGACUUCCCAUGGUACUCUUUUUUGUUUCCGUAACACUCAUACGGUAUCUUUAUCUACCCCCAACUCCUAUCUAAAUAUUUCUCAAGGAUCACGAAGUCAUAACUGCGAGGCUGAGUUCCCCAUGUUGGGGUUCCCUUUGUUUAUCUUGCACGAUCUGUUGAUUUGUUUGUAUCCUCUUGUCUAGCCAUAGCUAGGCUCUUCCUGAAUCAACUACUAACUACUCAUUGGCCCAUUCCUGUAUCAAUAUUCCGCAUAAUCUUUCUUGGGUUGUUUGCUUUGUCUUAACUUACCUCUCAUACUGGCUCUUUAUUAAUCAAUAACAUCUCGGGCAGGAACCCUUACUUUCUCUCCUUGACGUCAUGUUUGCAAAAUGUUCUGGAAUUGCAGCAUACCUGUAGGAUAUGGAUAAGUUCAAUCUUAUCCCUUUCUCAGUCUUAUCGCAUCAUUCCUUUAUUAUUCCAUAGUUACUACAACCACUUAAUUCCGACUUAAUGCCACAUCACUCCAUAUUCCCCCUUUAGGGAAGCACUAAGAUUUAGCGCUGCGAUGAUCUAUGUAUAGAUGUUUUACCUCUUUGGCAUCUUUUCACAUCAUCGAUGACUCGUACUCGUCUUGAGGUAAUCCUUCUGCACUGAGGAUAACAAAAUUCCUUACUCGCAAGGGUGACACUUAGUGUAACUGGCACACUUGGUCCUUUAAGCUUAACUUUGAUCACGUUGCUUGCUUUAGAAAAGCGUCUUUCUGAAUAACCUUUAAGGGUUAUUCUUCUAUCGUUCAUUCUUUUAUCGUCGAAAUGCAAUCUGAAAUUCUCAUGGUGCAGACUAUUAUCAAAUCACUCAGUCCCUAAUUCAUGUUUAGUUUACCUUGUUCACUAGCCCAUACUGAUUUCUUAUUACUUUGGGGUCUAAAUUUUCCUUCUAGUAAUCACGUUAGAGUCGCGAACUUAUUUUUUUGAAAUGAGGAUAUGACUUUAUAGCCUAUACUCUUUGGUUGUCUCAAGGCCUGUCACUUCUCGUUUUUUCCUUCACUUGACUAUAGACUCUAUAAUACUUUCAUAUUUGUUUUUUUGAUCUAUCGUUGUCAUCCAUGUAUCACAUCUUACUCAUAAUGCUUCAUUAACUCUCUUCUUAUUUCCCACUAACAUCUAUGUCUAAUACUUUAUUCUGAAAACUCGAACAAGACAUUCUUUUGCUUUUGCUCCCCUUGCUCCAUCCAUUGGCUCUUCGAAUUGCCUAACAUUCUUUCCCCACUAGGGACGGGAGCCACACUAAGGUAAUAUUUAUCCCUUCAAGGAUUCCAGUGCCUAUCUUUGUAGUAUUCAUAUCUAGCUGUACAAUUUUAGAGUGCACCACCUGGGUGUCUCAGAAGGAGAUCUAUUAGCACAUUUGCAAUAUCCUUUGGAAAAGUCAACUAACGCAAAUAAUCUAUCCGCCAUUUUGGGUCACUCUAACCCCAGUAGGAUCCUGAUAUCUGUCCUUCUCUUAUAUACUUCUGUUAGCCCCCAUAAGGCAUAAUUAAAAUGCGUGUGACCAAUUGCACAUACCUCUGUUACUGUUGAAGAUUAGCUCAAAAUGCUUAUAUUUCUCUGCCUGAUUUAAAAAUACUGAUAAUCUCCAUUAACUGGGUGCCUCAUACCCUUCUUCACCUUGCUUCUUUUACUUGUUGAACUUUCAUCUAGCUUCUGAAUUUCUCAUUGCUUUUCACCAUAUUGGUGGAUAGAUAUCCUUGCCUUAAGGCUCCUUGAAGCUUACACUUUUUAGUAUACACAUGAUCUGCUGAAGGCCUCACAUUGACUCAUCAUAAGCAUCAUGUAGAAUCGAGUUCCUCUAGCUCAACUCUUCCAUAGCCACAUGCAAUUUUUUGCCAAUCUUCUUUCUGGAUGUAGGCAGCAUCGUAUUAUGAAUAAAAUAGAGUUUAGGAAAUUGAGUUCUUACAACUGAGCUCUACCACACGAUCUAGAGUAAGCAAAAAGAGUGACAGUCCUAAAUGCCCUAUAGCCUCCUGCUUAUAAGUGUGGUGCAUGACACACCCAUAAAUAAGACUCUACUAGGUGUGGCUUUUAGACUCCCUAGGACAGAACUGCUCUGAUACCACUUUUGUCACGACCCAAAUCGAUGGGUCACAACGGGCACCCGGUACCUUACUCAACCGAGUACCUACGUAACAUAUCUUUCGUAUCAUACUAUCAUAGCUAAAUGAGCCAGAGAGGCUAUCAUGAGAUAAGUAGAAUAAAACAUGGGAAAUGCUUGACAUUAGAUGUCACGACCCUAAAACCGACCCGAUCGUGAUGGCGCAUAUCAUGAAACUAGGCCAGCCCACACGAAUCCCAAAUCAAACCAGUAUUUCAUAAAAGUCAUUUUUAAGCUAUUAAAUUAAUAGAAUCUCAAAACAUAAGUCUAAAUAACUAGUGCGGAAGAAAAUAACACAAGCCCGACAUCGGGGUGUCAUAAGUCACGAGUAUCUACUAAGGUUUGAAAUACAACAAAGAGUCUAAAAUAUACUAAAAACAGUCUAAGGAAGAUAAGAGGGAGAAGAGCAGGGCUGCGAACAUUAGGAAGCUACCUUGCUAACUCCGAUGAACCUGCCACUAAGUAAUCAACACCCACUAGCGGGUUUAGAAAUACCUGAAUCCGCACACAAGGUGAAGGGAGUAAUGUGAGUACGCCAACGCAGUAAGUAAUAAGAGUAAAUAACGGCUGAGCAGUAAGAAAACACAUAAUCCACGUCAUAACACCAUAGUAAGUACAGUGUGUUUCCAAAACAGUAUAUAUAUAUCAAAUCAUUUCGUUAAAAAUCUAGUUUUCGGUAGAAAUCAUUUAAAGAUGUGUAAAAAUCCAUUUAAAACAUCUUUCAGCAGUUUUCAAACAAGUGAUGAAACAAUAAGUAGAAAUGAUGAAAACAUAGUUGGCCCCUCGGGCAGAAACUCACUCGUAUACAGCCCCUCAGGCAAAAUGAAUCAUAAACCACCCCUCGAGCAAAAAUCUCAACAGAACCAGCCCCUCGGGCUACCUCACAAUCACUCAUAAUCAGUCCCUCGGGUAAAAACAUAAAUGAAAAACAGCCCCUCGGGCCACAUCACAUCACUCACAGUAGUACCCGCGCUCACUGGGGGUGUUCAGACUCCGAAGGGGCUCCUAUAGCCCAAGCACUAUAACAAGCGAUCUCGUGGCAUAAUCAAUCAGGUCCUCGGCCUCAUAUAACAAGCCACCUCGUGGCAUAAUAAAUCAGGCCCUCGACCUCUCAUAUACCAUAAAUCAGUACAACAUGUUGUGACGUAAAGCCCGAUCCCAUGAUAUCCUCACGCCUCACUCAGUCAGAAACCCCUCGGGCUACAGUAAAACAGGAUGCUCAGUAGAAAUAUCAUUUAUGCAUCAAAUUAGGGUAAAUAAGACUGAGUUAUGAAAUCAGUAAAACAGAGCAUGACUGAGUAUAGUUACUAAAACAAAACAGGGAGGAAUUUCAGUAAAGGCAACCCCUAAGGGUCUAAACAGUUGGCACGAGGCCCAAAUAUGGCAUCCAGUCCAAAACAUAGUAUUGCUUUCUAAAACACAAUAGUAUCAAAUAAUUUUCAAUCAAAUACGCGACAUAAUAGUCGUACGAGACAGACCAAGUCACAAUCCCUAACAAUGUACGACCCCACGCUCGUCAUCUAGCAUGUGCGUCACCUCAAAGUAGUGAAACGAUGUAAAAUUCGGGGUUUCAUACCCUUAGGACAACAUUUACAAUCAUCACUUACCUCAAACCGGACGAAAAUCAACACCGCGAUGACCUUGCCGCUCGACUCGGUGUCAAAUCAUCCCGAAUCUAUCCAAAAUCAGAAUCAUAUCAUCAAUACAUGCUAAAGGAACAAGGCCCAUGCAAAAAUUGUCAAAUUAAAUUAAAAUUUCCGAAAUUGGCCAAAUCCGACCCCCGGACCCACAUCUCGAAAUCCGAUAAAAAUCACAAAACUACAAUCCUUAUCCUCUUACGAGUCUGUAUAGACCAAAUUUAUCAAAAUCCGACUCUAUUUGACCCCUCAAGUCCUCAAUCAAACUCUCAAAAAAUCCCAAGCCCUAACCCCUCAUUUUCACCCCUAAUCUUCAUAAAUUACAUGAUUAAACAACGGAAAAUCAUCACAUAUAUGAGUAUUAGGGCUCAAGCCACUUACCUUACUGAUAAACCCUUGAAUUCCUCCUCAAAAUCGCUCUUAAAAGCUCCAAAGCCGACUAAAACGGUGGAAAAUGAAACAAAAUUUACGAAGUCUAGAAUUUAUACUUUUUGCCCGGAGGUACCGCAUAUGCGGUCAAAAAUGUUGCUUAUGCAAUGUCGUACCUAUGGAAAAUCCACCGCAGGUGCGGUUCCCACUUAUACCCUCAGAAACUGCUUCUGCAAUCAGAACACCGCACCUACGGCCUCGCUGGUACGAUAAAAUAUCCGCACCUGCGAUCAAGCUUCAACCGGUCCAAAACCGCAUCUGCGGCCUUCCUCACGCAUCUGCGACCUCGCACCUGCGGUCCCCAAUCCACAGGUGCAAAAAUGACAGAAGCACAAAAUCUGCACCAACACUCAAAGCUAAACUUCCCGUCAACCACUCAAAUCCAUCUCGAGGCCCUCGAGAUCUCAACCAAACAUGCCAACAAGUCACCUAUCACCUUUCAAACUUAUUCCAACCUUCGGAACACUCAAAACAACAUUAAAACAUCAAAUCACCCUCAGAUUCAAACCUAAGGAUUUCCAAACUUUUGAAUUCUACAAACGAUGCCAAAACAUCUCAAAACUCAUAUGAAUGACCUGAAAUUUUUCACACACGUCACAAAUGACACAACGGACCUACUCAAAUUAUCAGAAUUUCAUUCCGACCCCGAUAUCAAGAUUUCCACUGCCGACCGGAAAACGCCAAAUUUCCAAUUUCACCAAUUCAAGCCUAAAUCUACCACGGACCUCCAAAUUGCAUUCUGAACACGCUCCUAAGUCCAAAAUCACCCAGCCGAGCUAACCAAAUCAUAAAAAUCUAAAUCCGAGAUCGAAUACUAAAAAGUCAAGAUUGGGUCAAACUUUCAAAUUUAAAGCUUCAAGUUGAGAAUCAUUCUUCCAUAUCUAUUCCGAUUAAUCUGAAAGCCAAAGCCAAUGAUUUACAUAAGUCAUAAUACAUCUUACAGAGCUAGUCAUGCCCGAGAACUGGAGAGCGAAGUGCAAAUGCUCAAAACGACCGUUCGGUCAUUACAUUGGACGACCCAAUAUGUAAUCCAAACUUAUGCAUAUGACGUACGGGCCUAUAAGGUUGACAUGAUUUUUUUAUACUAAAAACAUAGGCCGACAGGGCCAUACAAGAAUCUGUAUACAUGACAUCUGUCUACAAACCUCUAAGAAUGUAUAAUAUCAUAAAUGUCAGGACAGAGUCCCGCCAUACCGAUCAAUGCUUGUACUAAUCAUACUGACCAAAUAAGCAACUUCGGAGCAAAUGAAGUGUACCAACAUCUUUCGCUGAGCUGAUAACCUACUUAGAGGACUCUCGACCUAUCUAUCGGGACCUGCGGGCAUAAAACGUAGAGUCCCCAAGCAAAAAGGACAUCAGUACAAAUAAUGUACCGAGCAUGUAAGGAAUGAAAAUCAAUAAACAAUAGAUAUGAGAGAAACAUGGAGUAAAAGACUCGACAUGUAAGUUUGAAUAGCUUUAUGAAUCCCUUAAUAUUUAAAAAUGACAUGCAUAUGCGUAUAAAUGCCAUACCAUGCAUGGGUAUAUGCGUUCAUAACAUCAUCAAGCCUCUGCGGGCAUCCCAUCAUAUCAUCUCGGCCACUAUGGGCAAAUCAUCAACGUAUACCAGCUGAUCAGAUGGUGGUGCGUAUAUAACGUCGUAACCUUUUCCCAUAUCCCAUAUACAUAUAUAUACAUAUAUACGCAUAUAUAACGUCAUCUGGUCAUGUGUCAAUGUACAUGAAUGCAAUGCAUGAGAAGUACGUCAAUAAAAUCUCUUGGAAUAUCAUAAGACCAUUAUGCCUUUGAGUAAUAUCAUAAAGUAAACUUUUUUCAACUUAUGUAUUUUUCUAAGACCCAUGAACAAAUGAUAGAAUAAUAUGACACAUGAGGAAUCAAGAACAUAAGCAUCUCUAGUAUUUCUAUGAAUAGAGUCAUUUAUGGAAAUUUUGAAUUUGCUCAUUUCGUUUUUGUCGUAUAGAUCAUGCCAAAAGAAAGAAGAGAUAGCAUUAACAUACCUGAGUCGGUUCUCUUGACAAUCCUUCUGACACACGUCAAUCGCGAUGAAACAAGUAAUGGCGAGAUCGAAAUAGGAAACAAUCUGCAUGAUAUUCUUGAGAAAAAUUGCACCGUACUCCCUUAGAUCCGAAAUUCCCACAUUGCUAUUACGCGAUAAUUCCAUAUGAAUUUGUUGUUGAAACUCCAUUCGUUACACAGUAGAUAUAAAACAUUUCCAUUGCAUUUUUGUGGCUUAAAGAAAGGUCUUUUAAUAUAAUUCUCCAACAAGAAUGAGAUAGGGUGCCCAUAUCUUUAAAGUCUUGCCACCACCUCCUUAGGCACUUCACUAGGUGACAAUUUGCUACCAUAAUUCUACAGAUCCACGUGGAAGUAGUGUCCCCUAGUGAUUAUCCAAAAUGUCACGUAAUUAAUUUUCUAAUAAAUUUAAUUUAUAAGUUAAUCUCCCACUUAAAAAUCUAUAAUUACCCAAUUAUUCACAUAAUUAAAAAUUAUGUCAAAUUACUUAAAAUUCUACUCACUUUAACACAUUUUAUACAUCUUAAUAUCAUGGUCAUGUGGUACCUUAUAUGGUACUAGUCCAUAAAUAUGAUAGCUUGGACCGUAUUUUAUCUUAAAAUGUCAAAUUUCGACGUAACUCAUUUUCUUCGAUUUGCUUACCCUAUCAACUUCACGAAUUUACUCAUCACUUGUUUGAAAUAGCAUAAUACUUAUAAUCUCAAAAUAAUCUCAUUUCCGAACUUACUUCGAUUAACUUACGACGAAAUUUCAACUUUACAAAAAUGUGGGAUGUAACAGCAAGGAUGUUAUGCUAAUUGUAGUAAUAAAAUUUGGGUUUUCUGGGAUUUUGGUAUGAAUUGCACUAUCUAUGCAGGUGAAGAUAAGAUUGUUACUUGUAGAAUCAUCAACAAUUCCGAUGAUAAAGAUAGAAUCAUCAACAAUGCGAUGAUAAAGAAUACUUUAUAUCAGUGGUGUAUGCUAAGUCGAAGUCUGUUUGGCAGAGAAUAUCUCUAGGAGUAUAUGAGGAGUAUUGCCUUUACUAUUACAGCUCCAUGGUAGUAUGUGGUGAUUUAAAGAGCAGUUUAGCAGUAGAAGAGAAAAUAGGGGGCGAACCACAUAGACUUAACAAGAGUAUCCCUUUUAUGGAGUGUAUUCAUGAUUGUGGUCUGAUGGAUAUUGGAUACUCUGGGAGCAAAUUCACAUGGUGCAAUGAGAGGAAGAAAGAGGAGAUUAUUUGGAAAAGUCUGGAUAGAUUGGUUGUCAAUAACAAUUGGAGAGGGCAGUUUUCUUUAAUUGAGGUCCUACGUCUUCCUAGAGUCAGCUCAUAUCACUGUCCUAUUUUAAUUUUUUUAAAGAAAUACCCAGGAGGAAUACAUAAAAUACUUUAUGUUUCUCAAUUUAUGGGUUGAUCAUGAUGACUUCUUAGAAGUAGUGAAAAGGAAUUGGAUCUCUCAUACAACUGGUAAUAUCUUUUGGACAAUUCAACAGAAAAUAAAAAAUACUAGCAAGGCUUGUGGUGAGUGGUCUAGAAGCAAUAUUAGUAAUAUUUUUGAGAAAGAACAACAACUUGGGGAUCAGAUAGCACAGUAUGAGGAGCAGUAUAUGAAUUCUCUAAAUCAGUAGGACAGAAUGAAACUUCACAAAGCUAAAGCAGAAUUCAUCGUUCACCAUACACAUAGAUAUUUAUUGGAGGCAGAAGUAUAAUAUCAAGUGGCAACUAGAAGGAGAUGAGAAUACUAAGUUCUUCCAUUCAAUGGAAAGAGGUAGAAGAAGCAUGCUUAACAUUAAUAGAAUUCAGAAGGAUGGAGUAUGGAUCCAAGGUGAGAAAGAUAUUGGGAUAGCUGCAACUGAAUUUUACUAGAACCUGUUUACUCAAGUGAACAUUGGUAUUGAUAGAACCAUCCUGGACCACAUCCCCACUUCUGUAUCUCAAGAAGAUAAUGAGAUUUUGAUGGUCAUCCUACUCUUAAUGAGGUCAGGGAGGCUACUUUUGAUAUUAACCCCAAUAGCUCUCAUGGCCCAGAUGGUUUUAGCAGUCUAUUUUUCAAAAAAGGUUGGGAGAUUAUUAGUGAAGAUAUUCCUAAUAUGGUGAUAGUUGUUUUCAAUGGAAAACAAAUGCCAAAAUUCUUUACAAAUACUCUUCUUGUACUUAUUCCUAAAGUUGAUUUUCCUCAAGAAUUCUAUGAAUUUAGACCAAUUAGUCUGAGUAAUGUAACUCAGAAGAUUGUGUCUAAAGUUAUGAAUAAUAGACUUUCUGAAAUCAUUCCUAAUCUUAUUUCCCAAAAUCAAAGUGGUUUAUAAAAGGAAGGGCUAUUGGUGAAAAUGUUUUACUGGCUCAAGAACUUAUUCAUGGCAUUAAGAAUAAUAAUAAAGGAGCUAGUUUUACUUUCAAAGUUGACAUGAAUAAGGUUUAUGAUAGGAUGUCUUGGCAAUUUAUCUAUUGUUAUGAGAAAAAUGGGUUUUACAAAGACCUAGAUUCAUAUAUGGAGUCUGUUGGCCAAUAUGUGGUACUCUGUGAUGAUCAAUGGUAAAAGGCAUAAUUUCUUUAAAUCACAAAGAGGGGUCAAACAAGGAGAUCUCAUUUCCCCUUCUCUCCUUAUAAUUGCCUCUGAAGCUCUUUCUACCGUGUUAAACAGUUUAUUUGAUAAGCAUGAGUUCAUUUGGUUCAGUAUGAAACCUAAUGUCCCAAGGAUUAAUCAUAUCAUAUGCUGACAAUCUUAUAAUUUUAUGUGCAAGAAAAUCUUUGAAACUGAGCUGUGGAAUUAAAUCCAUUCAAGACAUAUCAGACAGCUUAGGAACUAAGCUGUGGUGGCAGUAUAGAACUAAGAAGAGUCUUUUGGCUGAUUUUCUGAACGCUAAAUAUGCCAGCAAAAUCCAUCCUGUAGCUAGAAAGUGGAACUAUACUCAGUCGCACUAUUGGAGGAGGCUUAUGAAAAACAAAGAUAAAAUUGAUCACUUGAUUAUGUGAAAAAUCAAUAAAGGAAAUACAAGUUUCUGGUGGGACGAUUGGUCUAGUAAAGGAGGAUUAGCACAAUAUGAAAAUGCCUCUACUUCUGUCAAAGGUCAGGUGUCUGACUAUAUCAUCAAUGGUCGCUCGAAUACAUUUAAGCUUAAUCAUGUUCUCCCUAAUAAGAAGAAUCCCUUUAAAAUCCCCUUUUUUCUCUGGAGGCUGCUUAAAUAUAGAGUAGUUGUUGAUGAAACUAUGGGAAAAUUUGGUAUUCACUUACCCUCUAAAUGUUCCUGUUACACUAUUCAUCACCAAGAAGAUGAGGAACAUUUGUUUCUUAACUGUAUGAUUAUCCAUAGGGUAUGGAAAUAGUUUAACCAGGCCUUUGGGAUUCGUCAACAACAUUACUGUCUGAGGCAAUUGAUUAUUACUUGGUGGAUGACCAAAGGGAAAAAUGAUGUUCAGAAGAUGGCUCUACAAAUCCUCCCUGGUAUUAAUAUUUGGAAUAUUUGAAAGGCUAGAUGCAAGAGCAGGUUUGACAAUGUAGGUAUACAGUCUCACAGAAUUAUUACCCAAAUUUGUGAUCAACUUAUCAUUAUAUCUUACAAACAAUUUCCAAAGAUUCCACCUCUCUUAAAUUGGAAGACUUUUCAAGAGAUCAUAGAAAUGGCUAGAGAUCACGUUACUUCUGUUGCUGUCAAAUGGAACUUUCCUCAAACUGGAUUCAUAAAACUCAACUCUGAUGGGUGCUCCAAAGGUAAUCCAGGUCUUAGUGCAGGAGGUGGUAUUAUCAGAAAUGAUAGAGGACAUCUAGUGAAAGCUUAUGCUAUUCCUUUUGGAAACAUGACCAAUAAUAAAGCUGAAGCUAGGGCCCUCAAAUUUGGAAUUCAAUGGUGUAAUAUGGCUGGCAUAAAUAAUCUAGAAAUUGAGUGUGACUCUAAGCUACUUACUUAUUGGAUUUCCAAGAGCAGUGAUCUUCCUUGGAAUAUUAUCAAACACAUACAAUGAUUUUUUUCACAUAUAGAGAGUUGGUCUAUCACACACUGCUAUAGAUAAUGAAACAAAGUGGCAGAUAUUUUGGCUAAUUAUGGUCUUGAAUUCUCUGAAGCUACUUUCUUUUUUGAGUCUCAAAAUAUGCCUUGGGAGGCUAGAGGAGAGCUACACAUGGAUAGAAUUCAAUACCCUUCAUUCAGGAGGAAGACUCACAAAAGCUCCUUUUGGAUAGAUAAAAACUUGUAUAGGAUCUAUAAUUUUGAUGUCCCUUAAUGGGUGUGCAUAUUGUGUAGAAGAAGUUCUCUGUAAACCUAGAGCUUACUUGAAAUCCUACUUGACGUAUAGAAUGGAGCUUGUUCCAUUCUUAAUAGGUGCAGAGAGCUUAUAUAACGCUUCUGUUAUAUAUUUACUACAAUUAUUAAUAAAAUGCUUCCACUCUCUAUGAGGGAGUUGGACAGAUUGACACAGCCAAAAAAAAAAAAAAAGGAAUCCCGAAACCACAUGCCAAAGACAUAACAAUCAGAAAAUAAAAGUUUAAUUUAUGACGAGAUAUAUAGUUUUUUUUACCUACCUAUAGUUAGUGGCAGAAUCAUCAUAUAUUUAUGCUAGACUGAUUCGGAUAUCACCGUUAUAUAUAUAUCUGGUCAGUUAUAAUUAUGAUUCAAUCCUUUUGGGUUAACACCAAAUUAAAACACCUUCUUACGCGUCGUUUGUGGGGAAACAAGUUAUUUCAUGAUUAAUUAUUUUGAGAUUAGUUAUUUCAUUCUCUUAUGGAUAUAAAAAAAAUAUUAUAAUUCCGGGAUUAGUUAUAUCACGAUUUUAUCUCAACUAAAUAUGAAAUAAACUCAUCUCAAUUUAAUCUCGAGAUUAAUUAUCUCUUAUCCCUCGUAUCAAACGAGCCCUUAGUUUGUCCGAAAUAUAAAUUUAACACAAAAUUGAUUAAAAUCAAACCAUCGACAACAAUUUCUCAGGUCAAUUUGAUUAAUUCUUUUUGUUCGAUGUGAUAUUUGGUUGGUCUAGAAUAGCCCCCUACUUAUUUAUACCAUCUAACGUGCCAUUUGCCAACAAAAUCACAGUAUCACGCCACCCUCCCUCAUUUCAUUUAUUAUUUUUCAGAAAGACAAUUUCGGUUAUGAUACUCCGCGAUUAAAACAGGCUUGUAAUUAGGGGUGUCAAUGGUUUGGUUCGGUGUUCGGUUCGGCCGGUUAUUUUAUAAAAUUUGUAUUAUACUAAUUUUUCGGUUAUUCUAUUAUAUAUAACAAAAAUUAGACUUUUCGAAACCGUCCCAAUCAUGUGGGUUUCUCUUCGGUAUCGGUACGGUUCGGUAAUAUUCGGUAAUUUUUUAAAUAUCUUGUAAAAAUCACUAGUAGAAGUAAAAUGUAACAACAUACGUACUUUUAUAAGAUUUAGCAAAACUCUCUAGACAUUUUUACAGUUUAAAAGAUGAUAAAUUAAGAAAAUAUAAAAGAAGACUAGAGUAUAGAUCCAUCAACUAUUCUACAUCAGUGUAAAAGAAACUAAGAAUAUACAAAAAAAAUAUAAAUCACACGAGCGGAAAGAUAAUAACCAAGCUGGGUCUCAAGACUAAAGUCUAUAGAAGAUCAAAUAUUCAAAAAGAUAAAUCUAAAUCAUACGAAAGGACACAUAUUCAAUACAUUUUAGUUUGUUACUCAUAAUCGCUACAAUACCUUGUGUUUUGCUAGUGAAUAUGCCGGAAAUAAUUUAGUUUCAAUAGGAGUAGCAUAAUAGGUUUGGGAAUUUAGAUUUUAAGUUUAAUUACUUGUUGGCUUGUAACUAUUUCAUAAUUCCAAGCCCUAGAAAAAAUUUAAUGCUAUAUUAUUUUUAAACAUAAUAUAUAAGUAUAUUUUUUACAUUGUAAAUUUAUUCGGUAAGGUUCGGUAUUUAUUCGGUAAGGUUCGGUAUUUUUUCGGUUUAUUUUCAUAAAAUAAAAAAUCAAUCCUAAUUAUCGAUUCGAUUAUAGAUUUAUAUAAAAACCUACGGUUUUAUUAGAAGAAACCUAAAAAUCGGUUCGAUACGAUACGGUUCGGUAGGUUUAAUCGAUUUUUAAAUAUCUAUUGACACCCAUACUUGUAAUAGUGGAUCUUAUUUCUGUUAAUUUUAAUAAGUAAUAACAUUUUUUUCUCUGACAAGUAAUAACGACAUGUCGUUUUAUUAGCAAAAGAAAAGACAAAAUCAGACUAGUGCUUGGUUCCUGUUUGGCCUUACUUUAUGCGAGAGUUAGCCUUAGCCACGGAGUUUCUUAAAACUGCGGGCGCCGAAUCUUCUCGAAAUCUCUCCGUUUUCCUAGAAGACAACCCCCAACCCACCUAAAGCACGUGUAUAUAUUGCAUACGCAUAUAAUGUAUAUUAUAUUAUUCCCUCCGUCUCAUAUUAUUUAUUAUGAUGCUCUUGUACACCCGCUUGAAAAAUUAAUUAGGAUGAGAUUUUGAUCACUUUAUUAUUAUUCAUGUAUUAAUAUUUAAUUUUUUUUCAUUGGUAUUUGAAUAAAAUUAGGUGUUUCUAGUCUUCAAGAAUAAUUAUUAUUAAGGAUAAAAAAGAAAAAAGAUAAUUAAUUUUGUCUUGAACUUUUAAAGUGAUAAAUAAUUUAAGACAACUAUUUUUAGUAACCACGACUGUUAAUAUGAGACAGAGGGAGUAUAUUUCAGCUGUGUUAUUUUAGAUGAAUUAACUUAAAUAGUAAUCCACCUAAUCGUUAAACUAAAAAUCGCUAACGGAUAUGUAAUACAUGUAUAAUUCAUAUGUAAUAUAUGUAUAAUUAUAUAUAAUCAAUAUAUAAUCUAUGUAUAUUACUAAAAAAAAAGCAUUACAUCCGGCUGGCUAUUUUUGUGAAAAUGUCUUUAUUUUAUCCCAUCUUGUUGAAUUGGUAACAGAGUAUUACAAAAAAAAUACUUUUAAAACUUAUAAUUUGAUAGUAUAUCUUAUAAGAUUAGUGUCGCUAUGAUAAUUUAUUAUUAAAAGAACUUUUUUGAGAAUUUAUUAUAAAUAUAAAAAUAUUACUCCUUCCGUCUCAAAGUAAUUGUCAUUUUGUUUACACGAUUUUUAAUAAAAUAUUGAAUAUAAAAGAUUGUUGUCUAUUUUAUCAUUUUUUACGUCUUAAAAUAUAAUCUCAUUUCAUUUAAUACUUACACAUUAUUCAAAUAUUUAUAGUUUUCAAGAACAAUUAAUAUUAAGUAUAGAAUAGAAAAAAAUUAAUUAAUUUAUUAUUAAACUUCUAAAAUAAUAAGAUCCAAAUAUUAUUUUUUUUAUACAGAUUAGGAAAGAAAUAGGACCACUGUUAUAUGCACAGAGCAGGAUGUAUAUGCUUCUAUAUAUACACAACACACACACAAGCUAUAUAACUUCUCGUACUCUCAUCCCCCAAAAAAUAUCACCAAAACAUCGUAUACACCAAAACCCUUGUCUCUCUCUCUCUCUCUCUUCUCGGUCCUGCAAAAACUCCUCAAGAAAAAAGAACUAUUUCCCAUUUUUUAUUUCAAUUUUUAAGGAGAGAAAUUGCAGUGAGAAGAAGCUGAAAAAUAAAUACUAAAAAAAGAGAAGAUGUGUUUGUUCUCAUGUGUAUGUGAAGAAGAUGAGAAAGAGAUUGGAAGAAAAGUAGCACCAGGAGCAUGUCCUUGUUGUGGAGGAAAAGUACAAGCUGUAGAUGUAGAAGGACGCUUCAGAUUUUGCUUUCUCCCUAUUUGCUUUAGGUUCAAGAGGAAGUAUCUUUGUACUCUCUGUUCUAAGCGUUUGGUUUUGUAUUCUUGAUUAAUUUCAUCUCCUAUUUUCCUCUUGUAAUUUGUGCUCUCAAUUUUUUGAAAAUGAUCAUAUAAGUGUAAUUUUUUAAUUUAUCUGAAAGAGGGUUUGAGACUUUCUCAUUUGUUAAAGAAUAUAUGAAACUUGUUCAGUUGUGCCCAGUUAUGAGAAUUUAUAAAAAUGGGCUGAAAACACUUCGAGGUUUGCAAAUUCUGUUUAUAUAUUAAAAAAAUGCAUUUUAAGUUAUAUGUAUCGUCAGGAAUGUUUACACUAUCAAAUAAUUUUUAUUUGUUGUAACUUAGUUUUAUUUUUAGGUUAUAAAUUUUGCAUUUUAAAAAAGCUUAACUAUAUGUAUUAUAUGUAUUUGAGACUGUAACAGUGUAAAAAAUUAUUUACAUUGACUGCUUAUAACUCUAUUUCACCUCAGCUUAUUGAAUUUUGUAUAUACGAAAUACCUGUAAUUGGAGAAACAAUAUAUGUGGCAGAUUUGAGUAGCCACGUACUUGUCCAUUUCAUUGCCCAAAUCUUGGCCAGACUAGUUGGCCUAAUUAACCCCUCCACAUAAAUGUGUGAAUGUCACGUGUCCUGCUUGUGGACCAAAACAUACUACAAAUACCUUUAGGCCUUUGGCCAAAUUAAGGAAGCUUCCUAACAACGUGGUCUGUUUCCCUUGUGUUGUCUAUAUUGAACUCUGUAAUUCGAUAAAGCUCCUGGCUUUGCAGGAUUUGGUACUUUAGAGAUCGUCUGAUGCAGAUUCAGGACUUAAAACUAUGGUUUAAUCUUAAAUCUUUUGCAUUAAAGUUAUUUUAUGGUAAAAAUUAUGGGUCACAUUUAUUGUUUAUUGUAACUUUAGUGAAUUUUUAUACAUAUUUAUAUACUUCACGUCAAAAGUAUUGUAUUCAGAUGAAUCUAGUAUUGUAUUCAGAUGAAUCUAGCAUCACAAGGCUGGGUCUUAGUUGGAGUACUUCACCGUGGUGGAGGACGACUUGUUCUUAAUUUUCUAGUUGAAUUGUGCAGCUCCAUCCUUUGAAUUUUUAAGUUAUAUAAACUGACAAUUUAUACAACUAUUAGUAUACUUUAACUGCUUAUAACAAUAUCAUAUUAGGAUUGAUUGGUUCAGGCACUUACUUGUUAUCGCAAGUCAAUGACACUGUUGAGUCCAUAAGGUUCAAUUUCUUGAUCUCUCUUUUGGCACUUUUCUUGGAACAAAAUUGAAUGAACUGAAACGAGAUGACAGAGACUCGAACAUCUAAAGUGAGUGCUAUUUAUUCUUCUUUUUUUAUUGCACUUUUUCUCCCUUUGUUUCUUUAUUUAUGUUAAUUAGGAGCAAUAAAAUUGUUUUCUUGUGAUUAUAGGUCAUGGUUCCAAGCCAUGGAAGCAAUUAUUAAUACUUGCAUUAAGAUAGACUAUAUACAUCAUACCCUUUAGGCUGCGGUCCUUCCUGAAGGACGUGGAUGCCUUGUGUACUAUAAGAUCUAACCAGAAAGUUAUGGCACCACCUACAUACUAUACACAUGAUGGAUGCGAUAGAGUCAUUUGUAACUUUCUAAUGCUUUUGGACAAGAUAAAAUUGUUGAGAUAUUAAUGUUUUUCUUUUUCUUAAAGAAAAUUUCAGUUGAUAACGAUCCCCAUACCUACUAAGGGCCAACUUUACAAAUUAUGAGAAAAAUCGAGGCACUUCCCAGCCCGUUUAACUUUUCAAAUGGUUCUCGGGCCUUCGCUUAAUAGUAUUUUGACUUUUCAUCGAAAGAAAACAUAAAAGUUGUCCCCCAGAAAAAAGUGUUCUUACUUAAUAGUAAUAAUACAAUUAAAGUAUUAUUCGUCACGUGAGUUCUUUGUAAAAGCUUAUGAGCAUAAAGAGAAAAAGAAGUUGUAUGCUUCUUCUCAUUUAAUUACUUAAAUUAAUGUGAAAGGUACAAGGUUAAGUUUUGUUACAACUAUCACAAGAGGUUCUAAACGAAUUAGUCGUAAAACUCACAGUAUUGACUUCGAAAUUCGACGUGUCAUAAAUAAUGAAGUAACUACGGGAAGCAGCAGAGACAUUUUUUUAAAUUCCAUUCUAUGUUUAAUUUAUGUGAAAGAGUAGCCAAUAUCAGUUUACUUCUUCUAGAAAAACCUCCCUUUCAUUUUCAAAUAAUUUUCAAGAUUCCCAUUUCAAAACAAAGACAAAUAUACCACGUUGGAUAAUUAAUUAGUAAAACUAGUCAAAUGCACGAGAACUAUAUUAAGAACGUUAUUGCUUAUCAAAUUUAGAAACAUAAAGGAAACGAGGGCAAAACAUUUUAAUUA
rnacentral:lncRNA from 1 species